rnacentral:lncRNA from 1 species
AGAGAGAGGGAUAGAGGAAUGGGAAGAGGCAUUCAUGAUGUCCUUGCUGUUGUCAUCAUUCGUGGAGGUCAUCAUAGUCAGUGAAGGUUGCCAUCACCAUCGACCUGGAAGGCUGGUGCUAGAAGGGGUGGAGAGGGGGGAAUGGAAGCAGUAUGGGGAGGAGAGGGGAAUGGGAAGAAGUAAGGAGGGAGUCACAAGUGGUGUAGGAGAGGGGACCAACUUGAGAAAAUCAGGAAAUCUAAAACUCUACUUCAAAACUGCCAUCCAAAAAGUUGUUCUAAAUCUUUUUCCCAGGGAAUCAAAGAAAUACCAGAGUAUUGAGCAAUAUUCUACUAUUCCUAGGUACCCAAACAUGGCCUUAAUGUUUUGGCAUGCUUUUCUUUUGGUGAUUGUAUUACAUGGUAGCGUAAUUGCAUUUACAAAUGUUUAUUAUAUCAACUUCGACUAAGAGAGGGAACAUAAAUAUAAUAUGUUUCCGAUCGAUAAUGAGUUUAAGGAGUCUUUGUUGAAGUACUAAAGGAGACAUGUAUCCCUAUCCCUCAAAGCAUAGGUAUAUCUCUUGGUUAGAUAGAAAGAAGACAUUAACAAUAAAUUCCUUAUCAGUUGAAUUUUUUUAUUGGUUUGGUUCUUGAUCUGAUGUUCGAGGGGCUUGUCAAUGUGGUUGAAAUCAGGCUAAUUGGGGUAACGAGUUAAUUGGACUUUUGUUGGCUAAAUUGAGCAUAUGCUACAUGAGGAGUCCAAUGAGCUUAGAGCCAAUUGAUGGGGAUGUUUUUGGUCAUAUGUUCUAUCCAUUAGGUGGUGAUUUUCAUUUGGUUUGUUGGCUUAUUUGUGCCUUCAAGUUCUGACUAAUAAGGUGGAUUUUCCUUCCCACCAACUGGCCAUAUCCUAGUUGCCAGAAAUAGGAUCAGGUGUUGUAGUUAUUCAGAUGCAGAUAUUUGCAGUGGAUGCGCCACCCUUGAUAGAAAUUUUUGGCUACUAAGGGCUGUAUAGCUUUCAUGGCAAUCCUUUUGUUGCCUAUAUUUGCUUUUGCUAAGAAUUGGGCGCCAAUUUGUAGUGGGUUCACAUUAUGUUGACAACUAAUUAAAAUAUGUUUUAUCUAUUGAGCCUUCUCGACUGCAUGUCAUGCUCCGUAGCCAACCCAUAUUUGAUGGCACAAUGAUGAUAUGCUCUAUUUUUUUAUUUGUUUUUACGUUCAUAUUAGGGUUGGAAAUAUGAGGUUCUUAGUUUAUCUUAGCUUAGAAUUAUGUAUUUGAGUCAUAGUUGGCUAGGAUAUCAAUAUUUAGUUUAAUUGGAAGCUUGUUUCAUUUAAUAUAUGAUAGAAUUUAUAUUAGCUAGCUUUUAGGUGUCUCUUUAGUGGAGGGCUAAGGUAAAAUUGCAACAUUGUUGCUUGAAGAUAGAUUUUGAACAAAAUGCUUUGUUAUGGUUGAUUCCGCGUCUCUCUAUCUCUCCUCAUCCUUGCUUACUCCUUUUCUCUAAAUGGAAGGAAACACAUACAAGAUUCAAUUAUUACAAUCAUUUCUUAUGAAAAUUAUCAAAGAAAGUGGACCCAACACCAUGGAGUCUUGUUUUGAAGAACAGGAUGCAAAGUUUGAUCUUCUGAAAAGAAGAUGUAGAUAGUGUCAUUUAGAGGAUUUCAUUGUUGAUGACCAUGAAAAUGGUAAUCAUCUUGUCUGGUAUAAGAAACUUCUGGUGAAGUCAAUCUGAUGGGUUAAAGGUCUCACAAGAAAGGUUCAAUUUCAAAGGUAUUCAUAGGUUUGUCUGUUCAUCCAACGUCAACAUUAAUCAUCAUGGUCAAAUGAUGCCACGAUCUUUUACUGCCUAUGUGAUUGAUGUUUCUACUAUCAGAUCACAAAAAUUCAAUAAUAUGCAUGAACUCGCUGUCGGUUAACGUGAUAGUAGGACAAGAUCUGAAAAUUAUGAAGGUUCUUUACAAGCUUAGCUUCUUCAAGACUGCUUAGAAUCAGAUGUUUGAAUCUUGCUUGGUCAGGAAACACUCUGAAUAUUUUGACUGGGAAAGUCAAUGAACUCAGACUAGGAUGUCUAUUUCUGGUAUAGUUAUGUUGUAAGUGUCUUAUUUAGACACUAUGUUGGUUUUAGAUAGUCUUGGGUUUGUUAUGGCUGCCAAUUAAAGUGUCUUUUAUUUUAAGGCUGAGCUGUGGGAGACGUCUGAAAUUGUAAUAUGAAGACAGUUAACAUUGUAAUGAAUAGAAAAAUAUAUUUGUGUUAGAUUCCAUAUCCUCUCUUACUUUUUGUAUUCUUUGACUUGAAAAUUUUGAGUACAAAUCCAACCAUGAAGGACUUGUGUGUGUGUUGUGAUUUUUUAUCCAUUAGUUGCAGAAUGACUGCAGGAUCCUGUUGACUUAGAGGAAAAAAUUCAGAAUAUGAUGGUCGGGGUUAUGAAAACAUAUCAUAUGAGACUUGCAUUUAGUUUGUGAAUAUUCUUAAUGGCCGAUGGUUCUUUAAGUAAUAUACUUGGGGUGAAUUAUGAUGAAAGCUCGCUGAUCAACCUCUGAUGGUUUAUUUUGAUAUGAAUUUAGGAAAAUGAAACUGCUCUAGCAUGAAAACCAAUUUUGUGGAAGUCUAUGCCAAGGAUUUUGAUUAUUUACUGUUUCUUUGGUAUUUGGAUGGAACAUUUGAUUUGACAUGCAACUAGUUUUUUCUGUAUAGCUGAAUGAAUUAAAGGUUAGCAUCACUUUUGGUGAGAAGUUACCCACGAGUGUUGAUAAGCUGUUAUCGGUGCACAUUCGAAGAAAAGCACUUCAUAUUUUGCUUUGCAUAAUGUUAUCCAUGACUUUCUUAAUUAAAUUUGCUUCAAGCUUUUAAAUUUUCAUGGGUACACCAUGUCAAGUGAAAAAAUUGGAAGGUUGCUUGGUUAUGUAUAACAGACUUAGAAGUCCAUGGACAUCAUUUUUAUUGUUGAACAACAAAAAAAAUUUCUAGGAUUUUGGUCAAAGUAAAGUAUGGUUGGUGAUUGACUGAGCAAGAUUGAGGAGGUGUGGAUUUAUAGUAAGUGAUUUCUUAUUUUCAUACUGGAGAUAAUUUUGAUGGAUGUGUUUUGCCCCUUUUUAUAGUUUUACCUUACGACCUAAAUUCAUGCUUUUCUGUAAUGGUCUCUAUGAUGGUCUGGGAUCACCUCCACUUCAUCACACAUGUAUAAUGGAAAUAAAAUGUGGCUUCUAUCUAUGCUUUAUGGUAAUUAUAACAACAUUAUGCAUAUUAGUAACUAUCAUUUUCUUGAUGCCGUUAUCAUUUCAAAAUUAUAAUAUAGUUUUUGUAUUCAUAGAUAUAAAUAUGUAUGAAAUUAUGCUAUUUAGAUAGAGAAUACUAACAGUGCUUCUAUGUUAUUGUUAUAAAUUGAGAGGCAUUUUACUUGUUAUAAAUGGAUUUUAUGACAUAAUACCAUUUUAAUUUGAUUUUUCCCCAAAAUGAUGUCUUCAUUGCCCAGGGCAUGGUUGUUAUCUUUAAGUAAUGGCAUUAGAUCAUGCCUUCUUUUUUGGUUCUUUAUUUUAUCUAAAUUGAGGAUUCAUGGGAGCUUUUGAAAAAGUGUCUAAGAUUGGAACUUUUUAUUUGAAACUUGUUAUUCCAAACUAAUACUGUGCGGAUAUUAUGAGUUUGCAUUCCAGCGGGGUCAAAGUUUAGGAGUCAUGCUAGUGGAAGGGACUAAGAUUAGCCAGGGUGGGUCGGCCUAUUUUGCCAUUCCCAAUCUGCAGCAUUGCUUCUUGGUUAACAAGGUUAGAAUAUCCAUUGUGUUAGGCUGGACCCACGCUAAAGUUUCUCGGCUUGCUAGCUAUCAAGGCCAACAGCCUUUUCUGUGCCAAAACACUCAGCUCAACCCAGCCCAGACAUUUAAAUGCUUAAUAUAAUUCAUUCUUUUAUGUCUAUAAAAAUUGUACUACAAUUUAUAAAUUUAAUUAGUAGAUCUAAGUGAUUUUGCUGGUACUAAGCAGGUUCAACCUAUUCAAACCAAUUGGAGCAAGCUGAUACUUCAUCUUAGUUUCUGAAUGCUUGGGCUGAAGUAGGUUGCACGUUGUCUGUCUCUCCCUACUCUUCAUUUUCUUGGUCUUCUUUAGUGUCAGUCCUUUUGGAAAUCUGAAUGUGAAUGACAUGGUAUGGCAAGACAAAGCUUUUCACUUUUAAUUCUUUCUCACAUCAAUUAAAUGACACAGCAUUGAUUUUUCAUUUUCAUGUAGAAGACUCAAUUUGUAGUGUUGGCAACUCAAUUGUCAGCUUUUAUAAGCACCAAAUGAGGUCAAGUGUUGGACAGAUUCCAUUGAGCUUUGGCAAGGUAUAUUUAGUGACGAUGGUAAAAAUUAUUGUCCAUUUGACUAUAAGUAUCAUUUAAAAGAAAACUAUAUGUACUGAGGAGUACUUUAACACAACUUAGUAAAUCUUUGGAUUUUGGGUUUUACUUUUGCCAUUUAGCAAUUAUGAUUUGCUGAUAUUCAUAGUCAUUUGUUUGUGUUAGUCAAAUGCCUAAGUUCUUUUUCUUUCCAUGAUUCCCGAUGAUCAUGUCCACAGCUGAAAGUGUUCUGGAAAUUUGGGUCAUAGUAGAUAACAUCGUGUUAAUUAUAUAUGUCUCCCUGUUCUCUUUCUAUUUGUUGUGUCCUGGUGUCAGGAUUUUUCAAGGUUGCAUGUUCAGUAAUUGGGGAUGUUUGGCACUCGUCUAGGUGGCAUUGGCCAUGGACAUUGAGAUUGCUCAAUGUCUACAAAGUGAUUUGAGCCUGCACUGUAGACUUUGGCCCAAUUGAAUCUAGCACAAUACCAUCUGCGUGUACAGUGUACUCCUGGAGGAGAAAACACUAGUGAAUUAGUUUUAUGUUGCAUCAUGCAAAAUAGAGCAGAGGAUACCUUGACUCAUUGUGAUAUGUUAGUUGCUAAAGAUUAAAUGUUAAACUAUAAUUUAACUAAUUAUAGUAUGGAUCCCAGAAAUUUGUUGAAGAGAUACAAUUAUAUGACAUGUCAUUUCAGUGAAAUGGAAAUAAAAAUAAGGUGACCUGGUGCAUCAGGCUUUUGCCACUAUGGAUUUGGGGAGGGUCAAAUGUACGCUGUUUUACCCUAGAGAGGCUGUUUUUGUGUUUCAAACCUGAUACAUCUAGAUCAUAAUGGAUCAAUCUUACCAUUGUGCCAAAGCUCACCCUCAAGUGAAAAUAAGAAUAAGGCUAAAUCAAAAUUUUAUUGCCAAUGAAAAAUAUGAUGUGAUUAUGAUUCUCAACUUUGGAUGUUAUGCAAAAAAUUGCUGAAGAUAGACAAGGACAUGCAAUAGAAUGACUUCUGGUGGAUGAAGUGGAGAGAUGCUGCUAUGGUGUUUAGUGAUCAGCACAUGCCUUGGCUGCAAGAGAAGAUUUAAUAGAAAAUAGUAAGGCCCACAAUGUUGUCAUGUAUGAAGUUGUAAUUGAUCACGAGGGCUUAGGUAAUGAAAUGAGCUGUUAGUGAUUAGAAUAUUUACAUGAUUGUGUAGGAACAAGGAUCUCAAGAGGCUUAGAAACAUGUGCCAAUUGAGGAAAUGAUGAUAAUCAAUUGAGAUGGUGUAAUCAAAGGGAAGGGCUGGGAAGUGGAAGGAAGAUCUAAUUCUAAGCUAACAUGGAUGGCUGAUAUGAUAGAGGAUUUGUAAGAUCUGAGUAUCUCACUAGAUCCAGGAUUAAGAGAUUUAAAAUAACCAGGUCUGCAAAAUGGAAUGAGCUGUUUAUAGGUAUGUUUGACUAAUAUAUAAGAAAGGGUUUGGAAAGAGGAAUUCAAGAUCAAAAUCACUUGAACAAGAUGAAAUAUUUUUAAAAGCUUACUAAAUGCUUUGGAAAUUCAUGGAAACUUGAACCUGCACCCACUUUCUAAAUGCUAUUUUCAAGUGCUUUCACAAUAUCUACUUCCCUGCACCUUCUCCUGCAUCCACUCCUGAUUUUGGCAACUAAGCUUGGGAUGACUCUUUUUUGUUACGGUAAUGGUCCUCCUUAGGUGAUUCCCAAAUUGAGGCUUGAAAAUUUUGAUUUGCAAAAAUGUUAAUGGUUUUAAUACUUACAUAACAGUAGACUUUCAAUGCCAGAUAUAUCCCAAAGGGAACAUAUAUUUUUACACCACAUAUAUAUUUUUAGGCUUCCGAGAAGUGAACUUUUUGCCUAUGUAGAAAGACUUAUUCUGGUGUAAGAUAAAGUGUUAGUUGAUGAGAUAGAACUAAAUGUUUGAUUAUAAGUAUGGAGGAAUUUUUUGAGGACAAUGGCCUAAACCUUGUAGAAAGAUAGCAUGGUACCAAAAAAGCAGUUUCAAUGGCAAUGCAAGUGGGUAUGAAAACAAUGUCUCAUUCAAGUAUGCCAAGAGAUGCCCUUAGUUUUAUUGACUUGCUACCUUGGAUUUAUCAUGCAAAAGAAAGGAGAUAUGCAUGAAAUGUAUGUAUUAGAUGUUUUUGGUGUGUGAAAUGGAGAGGUAUUAUUUUUGGUGUGUCAUGUAGGCUAUGCAUGUGCUGAUGACUCAAGAAAAGAGUCUAUGAAACCAUAACAUGGUCCACAGCUUCAUAUGGUUUAUGAAUGAUGGUAAACAAAGAGGGGCCCAACAAACAAUCAUACUAAGAGAUAAGGGUGUUAUAUUUUAGAGAUGAGGUUAGAAACAGGUGAAUAAUAGAGAUGUAAGAGUUACACCAAGGACAAAGUGACGGUAAACUGAUUGAUAUAGAAUUUAUGCAACGAAUAACUAAAAUAGCUCAGUAGAUGUGCUUAGUUUUGUGUUUGGGUGUCAAGACAAAGGAGGGAAAAUCAUAACCUGUUUGGAAGUAGUGAGAAAUAUCUUGGAAAAGCUUGCAGUGAUAUUAUGAGAUAGCUCUUAAUAGGAAUGAUCGUUGCGCAUGGUGAAAGGGCUUCAGGAUCAUGGGUAUGAUAGCAUGCGAAAACCCUGCUGUAUGGGAUCCUACUGAAACAUUAUUGAACAAUUCCUUAGUUCUAUUUCUUUCUCCUAUUAUAUGUUUUUCAUUUUAAUAAACCUUGUAGAUUUUACACAUUUCUCACAACUUAGAUGCAAGAAGUGUUCUCGUUCAAAAGUUUUACAAAAUUGUUUUAUAAUCACCAGACACACAAAACCAGAAGGAAAAGGAGAAGAGGAAAAGGAAAAAACGGAUGGAAUUGUAUAUGAAGCAAGUUCUCAGCCUUGGUUGACAAAUACGAGCUGACAUAAAUAUGUUAAGAAAUUAACUUGAGGUAAAAUCAUAGAAUGUGUAUAAACAAACACAACUUAGUUGUUUACAGUUUUAUUAUUAUUAUUCUUCUCUAUUUUAUACUGUUAUUAGAUAUUGUUGCUUUGUAUUAUUGAACUAAUUGAAAUGUGUAAAGUCGACCAUUGUAUUUGCUCUUUCAUUAAGAUGCAUUAACAAUGUGGUUCUUUCGAUUUGCAAUUUCUGGCUUGAUUUCUAAUGGAAUCAAAAUGAUCUAUGGAUUGAUCAAGAGUUGAACUGAGUAACCUUUGAAUUUGUUAUCUCUCUACCAUUUUGACUCUUUCAAGGUUUAUUAAAUCAUAAAGGUUUGCUACCCAUGGCAUUAUCUUAAAAUACUUAACUAAUAUAGUAGGUUUCUCUACGCAGCAAUUGGCCUCUAGCUUGCAUGGCAUGCUACAUACUGUUGUCAAGGUUGACAUUGGCUAGAAAUUUGACACCAAUUUCUAGUGUAUCAGCUUCAGAGCCAAUGAUAACUCGACAUCCCUGCAUUAUUGAUGCUAAAGGGAAAUAGGCUUAAUUUUCUUUGAUCAAUGAGUAUGUGAAACAUAAAGCAGAAAUAUACAAUGAGAACUCGCCCUAGAUGUGUAUCUAGUUACAGGAAGAUUAUGGAUUUUUGUAGGUAUCAUGUAGGUGGCUCUGAGAUUUUAUUUGAUAUUAUCAAAAGUACUUGAAAAAUAAACUAUCUUAUGUCUCACCAGAGAUGGAACUAUAUAUAUUGGAUUUUGCUAUCAACGGUGAUCAUGUUUUGAGUAACUACCAUAUUUGUGAGUAUAUAAUGAUUUUGAAAGUGAUAGUUAUAGGGAGAACAAGCCAGUGUGUUUGACACGGGUGCUUAAGGAGGGUCCUUUUCAAACGGGGGAGCCAAAAAGGAAUUUUGUCUAUGGCGAUUUUGACAUGGGUACUUAAGGAGAGUCCUUUUCAACCGGAGGAGCCAAAAAAAAAAAUUCUAUGGCAAUUUAUUUUUGGUUUAUGCCUAAGCAAAGACAAAUAUUGAAACGCCUAUUUAUGGUGUUUUUUCUUUUUCCCCAAGUUUAGGAUGCUUUUCCUCAUGUUUUUGGUUAUGGUCCUUUUCUUAUGGUGUUUUUCUUUCUCCUCACGUUUAAGAUUAUUGAUUGUAAUUGCUUAAAAAACAUUCCAAACAUGCUUAUAUAAAGGCAUGAACUAUGUUAUGUUUUCAGAGAAUUUAGUUUCAAGUUUGAGUGAAUUAAGGAUUAAGCCUUUGGCUUGACAAGUUCCUUCUUUUGGGUGUUUUGUAUCUCUAGGCGUUUCUUUAGGUGGUGAGCAUAUUCUUGCUCUGUAUUUCAGGGAGAUUGUUUGUGAAUGGUGAUCACUAGAACUCUGUAUCCCUAGGGUGGAUUCCUUUGGGUGGUGAGUUUUUUUUUCCAUCAAACUCUGUAUCCCUUAGAUGGAUUUCUUUGGGUGGUAAGUUUUUAUCUAUCCAUUGUUCUUGUCCUUGAGGAUUUAGGUUUACCAUUAUUAUCAAAUUCUUGGGUGGUUUUUGUCUGCUCGUUAUUUGUCUUCCCUCCCUUUUAUUUUCCCGACAUCAGUAUUAGUUUGGAAAUACACUUUGUAAUGAAUGUUAUGCAUCAAUGAUGUUGAAUGUGAUGCUUUAUAUUUGAUAUUUGCAUCUGUGAUUUAAGUUUAUUAUCUUCCAAGUUGUGCUCAAUCAAUAUUAUAAAUAGGUUGAUUCAUAGGUGAUACCUAUAUUGGAAGACGUCUCAUGAGAACUGGGAACUCCGAAGAGAUUUCUUACAUAGCUGGUCUGUGAAGUUUGGCUAUAGAUCUCUCUUGUUUUACUACUUUCGGACAAUAGGUUUCAAUACUCUAGCUGUUAACAGAGUUCUGUAUCAUUUCAAUGCAUUAUGAAACAGUAAGCUCUGCAAUAUAUUGAAUCCAUGGCACAUGCCGGUAAGUUUUGAAACAUGGCAGUGCCGGUGCUAUAAUCAGAGCAUGUGAAAUGGAUACAUGUGAAAUGGUACAUGUAGCGGUGCCAUAAUGAGUAUUAUGUAGCAAUGUUGUUAAAUGUAAUGCUUCAAGUUUAUAUAUAAUGUUAGCAUGACUAGGGAAAAGCAAGCUCUGAAACAUGGUGAAACAGGGGAUACAAUGCAGCCACAGUAAAACAAGAACCCUUUGUGUUAAGCCCCGGUGCAGCCACAUUAACUUAUUUUACAUGCUGAAGCAAUGUAGCCACAAUGUAACAUGACCCUUAAUAUAGUGUAACAUGUGAAACCCUUGCAACAUGCUGAAACAUACUGAAAUAGUGACUGGGGAUGCAGUGAAGCCUUUGAUCUAGUUUGAUAGCAUAGUUUCAGAAUUAUGGAACUUGGAAUCUGAGCACAGUUUCAAAGCUCUGAAAUGUAGAAUCUAAGCACAAUUUCAGAGCUCUCAAAUAUGGAAGAGAUGCACAGUUUCAGAGCUAUGAAACAUUGAAACUGUGGGUCCAUUUUUUUGAGCUCUGAAACAUAGAAACUGAGCAUAGUUUCAAGCUUUGAAACAUGGAAUGUAAGCGCAGUUUCAGAAUCUGAAACAUAGAAUCUGAGCUUCAAAAUAGUUAGCUUUGAAAGAUUUCCAGUGCUCUGAAACAGUUCUAGUUAGCUUGAAACAUUGAACAUUGAUCCGAAGCAUUGAACUGAAAAUUGAACUGAUACAUGGUUACAAUGAAACAUGAGCUAGCAUUAAACUUAUAAAACACUGAACAUUAAAGCAUUAAAACAUUGACUGCACAUUGUGAACCCUCCGCUUUGCUGGUUAUGACCUAACAUGUGUCAACAAGCAAUCUGAAAUAUGUGCCAGUGAACUGCACGUUGAACCUCAAACAUGUGCUACUGAUGCUGAAACUGCAUAUUGAACUGCUGCUUAUGACAUCUAUGAAAUAUAUGCCAUUUAAGUAAACAAUCAACUGCACAUUGAACUAAACGUUGAACUUAUCAAACAUUGAACUAGCAUUGGAUGAACAUUGUAAUUGCAUUGUCUGAACAUUGAACUAACAUUGAAUAAGUGAUAUUGUCUGACCAUUGAACAUUGAACAUUGAACUAAACAUUGAAAUUACAUCCACAGCAACUAAACAUUAAAUAGUUAACACAAUGUUCCAGUUAACACAAAACACUCUUCCAACUAACAGCAAUUGUUGUAAACCUAAGAUCCACAUCAAAUAACAUCCAAAGUAGAUAUAGACCGUUCCAGCUAAAAACAAUUUUUCUAAACGUCACCAACACUGCUGCCCUGAGUUUUUGACUGAGAAGACAGUGGCCGACUAGAUCCACCAAUGUGCUUUCUCCUUCUUGCAUCAAUAUAAGCUCUUAGGGAACCCAUAGUAACCUAGGUUGCACCUUCUCCACUCAAAUGCCUCGCCUUACUUGGACCUUGUGAAAACAAUCAACGUUCAUAUCAGCUGAAUUUUAUCACACAGAUCAAUAAUGAUAUAAAUUGUACCAUAAAAAACCUCUCCCCAGUAUCUGGUGAGACAUAUAGCUUAUGUGAGGAUUCAUGUGGGCGUGUGUUUAGUUCCACAUCGGUUAUUUGCUGGGUAGAUCUUGGGUAUCUAUAUAGAAUCAAGAAACCCAAAUAAUAUCUUUCUGCUAGCCAUUUUGAGUGAGGUCCUAGGUUGUUAUAGCCUAUAACCCUCAAGUAGCUUUUUCUACCUUGGCUUCUUCCAAAUUUCAGUGGUCUUUAUCAUGCUACCGCUCAAUAGUUCUAGCAGCUGCCAAUUGCCCUGCUCUUCUCCUUACCAUCAGCUUUUCUCGCCCUCUUGUGGUGGCUCCACUGAACAUAACCUAGCAUAAGAAAAAACAUGCACUAAAUAAAAUGGAAUGUUAGAGAUGCACCAAAAUUAUUGUCAUAACCUGAUUUUUACUUGGCCUGCCUUUAAGUUUCUUUGAUGGUGGACAAAGAGACUGAUCAACUGUUGAUAAAUCACUUCUGCUGGGGCAUCCUUGCUUGUUAUGGCCCCUUUGGAAGUGUAACUGACAAGUCAUUUAUCUUCCAUGCCUGAACAGUUUGUGAGCAUUCUUGGACUCCUCAUGCGGAUCCUUCCUUCUAUUCUUCUUAGGCUUGCCUGCCAUUAUCCUCACAGGUGGAGGUAGCAUUGCCUCCGCACCUAUCCUAGGCCAUAACUUCUCCCCUUUGACUAGGGUGCUAGACUUAAAUUAAAUUUAGUUAGCAGGUCUUGUGGGGUCUGCUUCAAGUUUCGACCAAGUCGUCAACCUUGAACUCGUCUUAGGGACCUCGUCAAAGCCACUUUAGACUUGGUGUAACUUUUGGCUAUAAAAAUAUAUUUGACAGCUCAUGUGGCUAAAAAUUAGCAGGGUUACUUGUACCCCGUUGCGUAUCAUAGAACUCAAGAAUCCUAAACCACAUGAAAUCAUAAACCAUUCAUGAAUUCAGCAUAAGAUAUAAUUCGAUAUAGCUAAACCAAUCAUGCAACGUCAUCCGCAAAGUCUUCUUUUUCGCAGGUUCUUGGUUUGUGGUGCUAAAAUUGUAUUAAAAAACUUAAUUUAUCUUGACAGCCAGCUAAUUGUUUUUUGUCAUUAUUAUAAAUUUCUGAUAUCAUUUGGUUUAGAGGUCAACGAGAUGGUUUGAUGCACUUAUAUACAUAUAUGAGUCUUUAUUUUAUUCUCCCAUUGUUCUGAAAAUACUUAUACUCUUCUUCCGCAUGCCAAUAGAACUCCUAUGCUUGUUUCUGAAACCUUACAUGGGCAUGUCAUAGCAGCCAAAGUAACAAUUCGUCACAAUAAUUAGGGUAGUUAGGUAUGUGUAUCAUUCACUUAUUAUAUAAAUCAAGACUGCAAAUGCUAAUUUCUCCAGUAGACCAUUUGCCAACCCAUCUCCUCUAUUGCAAUAAAUAUCCUAGAUUUAUUCUCUUUUCCAUCAAUUAACCAUGAAUAUUACUGUAGCCUUUCUGGUCUUGAUUCUGCUUUUGAUCGAUGUACAGCCCCAUUGAGCUUCAUUUGGGCUUUUGAUCAAUGAACUUGGUAAUGGCCCUCACGUAACCUCUUGGAGCUGGAUGGGCUGUUGAUUGCUCAACCUGAUGAUUAGCCAUAUGUAGCCCUGUGAGCUUGAUUUGAGCCUUUGAGAGAUGAACUUGGUGAUAGGUUUGAAUGUAGAGAAUUUCAAUUUGUGCUUGGCUAGCCCUAGCUGAUUUGCUUCAAGCACACCUAAGAUCGGGUUGAAACCCUUCCCUGACGCCUUGGCUUGGUCCCUUCACAUUUUGUCUUGGAUCCGAUCCAUUAAAUCUCAAUUAAAAUUUCUCUUCAUCUGUCCCCAUGGAUUCAUUUAUUUAGGCCUUGAUUGUUUUCUUUCUAGCUUGAGCAUGUCUGCACUCUUCUUCAACUUCGUUGAAAUCCACUUAUUUGGCUUCACGUGAACUUGAACGCAUCUAACUUGAUUUGGUUCUGAACUACUCAAAAUCAUGUCGGAUACUUUUGAAAGGGGGAUUUAACACCUUCGUUUCAUCAGAUUUUGAAUAAAAUAUCAAACCUUUGGUCCAUCAGAUAGAUUUAAUGGAUCAAGUGGAUUUAAACAAGUUAUGGAUAUUUAAAAUGGCAGAUAUUACUGAAUCAGUCAACUGCUAUUCUAAUGAUGGUCCGCCAUAUCGGCCCAAACGGAACGGUAUAGAAUAUAUUAUACCAUACCUAUUCGAUAUCAAUAUCCUGUACAGAAGAUGUUCCAACACUCAGUAUGCCAAAAACAUCCUAUAUCCUACCAUACCGAUACAAUGCUAGUGUGACACCGGUAUAGAGUUUAGUACCGGAACUGGGAUUUCUUGGACCCUUGGAUUUCUCUACUUUUUGAUGGUCUUAAAGAUUGAAACUUAUGCAGCCUGCAAAGUGAUUAGCCAGUCAUCUAAUGGCAUUGGGUACCAGAUCCACCAUUAAUGGCUUGAUCGGAUUUCUGGAUAUAUGAUAUUAAAGCCACUUUUAUCCAUCAAAUGGACUUUAUCCAUCAUUGAUCAAAGCUCUGAUAAGAAAGCUAUGGCAGGCUGAUUCCGAGGGUGGUUUCUGAUCCAACAAAUUGGGAUUACUUGGACUGUUGGAUUUAUUUUUUUUCAUUUUUGCUAGCAUAAAAGAGCUCCUGCUCUGCUUUCAUAAGGCCCCUCCUGAUCAUUGAUCAGAUCAUUAGAUAGGAUCCUUCUAUUGGAGCUAAUUGUUAUUGUCAAAAUUGAAUGCUCAAAAUUUAGAACUCCAGAUCCUUGCCAUCUACCAUCUGAUGUUCAUCAAACUUCGGGGUGAUGCACCAGUCUCUACUGGACUUCACUGAGCUAAAUGGAUUGCCAAUCUGAUAGGAAGAGGCUUCUAUGAUCAAGAAAAAGAAGGUCCAGAUACAAAAAAGCAGACGACUGGUCCCAUGUCAUAGAACAGCCUAUGAUACCCUCCUUUUCAUGUCAGAUUUUCUUUCAUUUAUGCAACAUGACAGGCCACAAAUUUAACUUUGUAAACCUCACAUUGUAUGGUCAAGUAAAAGAGUAUAAUUAUCUGUAUACUUGAGUGAGACAACCCAAGCUCCAAAUCCAUGCAAAAAGAUGUCACAUUAGUGUUUUUUUUCCCUACUCUCCUAUUCCAGACAUUCAAAUUUAAAUGAUAAUAUGACAAAGGAGCCUUGCAUGUGUCAUUUCUGGACAAUUAUAGAAAAAAAGGUAUACCACAGGCAUGGAAUGUGCAUUUCCUUAUAUAGAGUAAAGAACAAUUGUUAACAGUCAAAAGGGCUCUCUUUGUUAAUACAGUCAUAGUAGUAAUUGGUAAUCGUCUGCGAAACGAGUAUCAGAGUCAUCUACCAGGUCAUGAAAACAGGACAAAUAACCUCGAUGUGCAAUGCAAACUUGCAACUCAAUGCCCAGCACGAGAAGAAAAGGCUCAACCAAUAAAGAGCUUCUUAGUUACAUCAAUAGCAAAUCCAGGUUUGUACUCAUCCACAAGCGUAAGCGACAAUAAUUAAUAGCUCGGUCAUUGACCUCAUCCAAAUUUGUAGUCGAAGUCUUCGCACUAGCAACCAAGUAGCACUGGAGACAUCCAGUUGGCCUAUAUCAAACAAAGCCAAGGAUGACUGAUGAUUUUUCAAUUACACCAGGAAUGACUAUAGAUUUUCAAAAUUGCAUGAAUAAAACAUGCUGAUGCCAAAUACUAACAAAGAAUAUCAUACAUGGUGCAGAAACUUUUGUGCACAUCCUCUUCAAUCCCAUGUGACCUUUUCAGCUUGCCCCUUGAAAUUUUCUUCUAUAAAAUAUAAGCAGAGAGAACAAACAAACAAACAAAUAAAUAACAGCAAAGUAUGAGAUAUGGAAUCAUCCCAGGUAAAAUAGUACAUACACUUCUGCUGGUGCUCCUUGCAUUUCACUUGCUGUUCUUUUUGAUUUGUGCUUUGAUUUCUUCUCACGCUUCUUGCUUCUGCAGUAAUAUAACCACAUAAGAUUCACCCUGAAGGAAAGGAGAAGCAGCCACGCAAAAGAAAUAAAAUAUAAUCAAUUUGCAGAGAAAACAGGAAGUACUCGUCUUGUGAGCUUGGAUCCCAACAACUCUUCAGCUUCCGAUCAAUAUGUCUCAUGUCCUUUGUGGAAGGGAUUUUGAGCUUCCCAAGCUGUACUGAUGAAAAAUUUAUGAAUGGCUUAAGAUAGACCAUCUUAUAAGGGUGAGAGAGAUAGCCUCUUACUAUCACAUUUGAGAAUUUAAAGAGUGAUAACAUUGGUUGCUUCUUUGAUGGACAAAGAUGAAAAAACAAGGAAACAGUUCAGAAUUCCAAAGGUGCAGCUGCUGAAUACUGAAAGGUUGAAAAGAAUCACAUAAUCACCUACAAGUGACAGGACAGGACAAGACACACAACAUAGUGUUGUGAAAUGGAAGUCUACAAGACAUACCCAUAUCAAACACACAAAGAUUAUAUAAUGGUGAAUUCGGGAACUUGUGUGACUGACAUGUGGCACUAAUACAAUGAAAAAAGAAAUUUCUUACUACAAAAAAGAAAUGGUAAUGAUUUUAAAUGAGAAGUUGACUAAGGACCCCAAUCAAAAGCCAGUUGCGAUACACUGCCAAUCCCUGAUUUUUUUUCCCCAUCAAGCAUUAAGGCCAUAUAAAUGUAAGACCGAGAUUUGCUGGUUGCACGAAGUACGGACAUUGUUGACUUUUAGUUCAGAAGGGAUCUAGACACAUGACCUAACCAAUGAUUAAAAAGCAUGAUCACUAGAGAUGUCAAGACAGUGAUGCCAGGAAUCUUCAUCUGGGGCUUUCUCAAGGAGUCAUCACCUUGAAGUAGAAUGUGUUAUUACUUCCAUAUGCCAGAGGCUUGACCAUGAAAAAGUCGAUAAAUUCUCUAAGAAUGUCAUUAAAUUCUGAAUUCAAUUCAUGAUCUGCCACAAAUACUUCAAAUUCAACUUAAAAUCAACCCUAGAAGGGUUUUCUCGCCAAGAAUCACCUUGAAGUAGAAUCAUGAUUUCAAGUGCCAGCGGUGGCGGACUGCACCCACUGGCACAUACCGAGCUGGGCCAAUACCAGUAUAUGGCACAAGUAGAUGUCAACUGGAUCCAAUUUUCAGAAUAUGUUAAUUAGAAAGGAUUUCUUUAAAAAAAAAUGCUUGAGCUUAUAGAAAGGCACAUCUGCUGAUACUGCAUGGCACAACAUGUCCUGUGCCAGUGACUGGCACCAAUACUGGAAUUGAUGCCUAAAUCUUUUGAGUAAAAAAUGCAUUAUUACAUUCAACAUACAGAGGUUUAAUCAAGAAAACUUCUAAGCAUUUCAUUGAAUUCUGAAUUCAACUCAUGACUUGCCACAAAGACCUCAACGCAACCUUAAACUCAAUCCAAAUAAAAUUAAUACUUUCCUGACCUAACAUAUUAUCGAACUAAGACUUCUUUAGACAUUAAUGCUCAAAAUAGGACUAAGUUCACACAAUAUAGAACUCCUCAUCUCGUCUUAGACUCGCAUAACAAUUAAAAAUGCCACAUGACUUAAAAUAUAUUUCAUGGAGAACCCAACAAGAUUCUAAAUAGAAUUCUAAAGAUACAUCUCAACAAUUGCAACAAAUACCAAAUACCUAAUCAUAUCCUUAGACUAUUAGUGUCCCAAAUUCAUUUUCCUCAAUUGCAUAGUUAAGUCAUUAUAUGACCAGGCUUCUUAAUUGGAAGAAUUAUGGUUAGUUUUCCUUCAUCUAGCAUGUGGUGUGAACACUACAAAAGAGAGUCCUUUACAUGGCAUUAUGAUCACCAUCAGAUCUAACCCGUUGUAUCUUUAAUCCAAAAGGGAGAUCUAUUGUUGACACAGAGUUCUGCUUUUGGUGUCUUGAACCUUCAUACUAGAUGGUGUGAAAGAAAUGAGGAUGCAUCCUCUAGUUUGGAAUUGCUCCUUAGCAGGAAGAGCUAGAGAAUGCAGGUUGGUCAAUAAAUAAUUCCUUCCCAAGUUGGCUCCAAAAUAAUCAUAUCUUCAUGAAAGAUUUUGUCUUUUAAAGAGUAGAUUUUCUGAUCCUGACCAGCAGCACCAUUUGUUAUCAGUCCAAUCAUGACAUAUUUUGGUGCAGAUGAAAUUAAAUAUGGCCCACUUGCCUGAACAAAUCCAAUUCAAACAUUCCCCCCCUCCUUUCAAACCUGGAAGAUUCAAGGAUAUGGAAGAAAUAGUUGGACAAUCAUAAACUAGAAAACAUUAAAAGGUAAUAUUCACUUCAUCUUACAUACAAUUCACAAUAAUCACUUUUAAUUUCACAACUAUGUCAGAGGAGGACUGAAAAUAGUCAAUCGCUAAUGCUUCAUAGACCAUAAAAAGUGUUUAUCAGUAUAAGUGAUAAAAUACAAAAUUGUUCAUUUGCUAUUCAAUGCAUUUCUAUCAAGAAUGACUACCAAGCAUAACAAACUACUCGUUUUCUUUUAAAUGCUAUAAGAAAAAUAAAAGUCUAUCGUUAUAUACCAAUACUAGUUUAAUCUAAAUAUAUUCAUCAGAACUAAAUAGGCCAAGCUGAAAAGAAACAUGACAUUUAUUGCCUCUAUCCUCAAGACAUAAAAACCAUGAAAUCUCAUUCUUAAGUAUGGUGGGACCUGUUGGACCAGUUUUGAUUCAUGGUUGGAAUAAUUCAUUUCCACCAAUUUUUGAUAUCCAUGAUCUAGGAAUUUGAUAUGUCUGUAGAGUGUUGGAAUGUCUAACUCAUAUUGACUUGCCAAUAUGUAUCAACAAGGGUUGUCCAAGAUGAAUGCAAGUGUGCUGAUAAGGAGCAACCAUGUUAUAUUCUUUUGGGAGGUUGGAAAGGAAGAGAGAUAUCAUUUCAAACAAAUUUGUUUAAUUAGAGGGAACUCCAGUCGCCUCAAGCAAUAAUGAUGUAGAGAUCAAGGAAAUUUCUGGUAUUUGGUAAGAAUAAGAAUGAAGCUUUCCUUGAAAAUAAUUUAGUCUCCAGAAGCAAAAACUUCAUGUAGGAAGUCGUUUCCAAUAUAAUUAAACCAUCCAAAUAGUCAUACCAGGUCUGAGAAAAGUUAAAGUAAACUUUCAACAGAAUUUUGGAAUACAACAGCACAAAAUUAGAACAGAAAAGUUUCUCUUCUGAUAAGUAAUAUUGCUAAUAGGGACUUUAAUUAGAGUUUAAGUAGCCUUCACUAUUUGGUUUUCAUAUAGUUUCUCCCGAAAGUAACUUAAACUACAAUAAGAAAACUUCAAGUGAGGAGUCCUUGUUUCUUUUAUAAUGAGCUCUCCCAACUACUAUACCAGUUGAUAGAAAAAUUAAUAAAAUAUUAUUCGCAACAAAGAUAGCUCAACCUAACAAUAACAAGACAAUUCAAAUAUAGAGAAUUCUUGAUUGCAAUAGCAGUAAUUUUUGUUAAAGAACUUCCUCUUGUAACCCCAGCGGAAAGUUUAGUUAUAUCAUAAUGUACGUCUACGAGCAUUGCAUGAUCAGGCAAAGCAUUAUGUAUAUGAUAGGGGAAUAAAAUUCAACCACCCAAAAAAUAAUAAAGGACAGGCAAAAUCUGACAUAUUAAGGCCUUGUUUGGGAAUGCUUUUGAGAGCUAGAAAGUAUUUUUUGGAGGGUGAAGAGCACUUUCAGGCAAUAUGGUGGUGUUUGAUAAUAAAAAAAAAUCAGAAGAGCUUUCUCGUUCUCCAAAAAGCUAAAAAACAUCUCUUUGGAAGAAGCUCCAUUUUUUGGGCUUUUCCCCAAAAGCUCUACUAGGUUGAGGUCUGGGAAGCUAUUUUUGAUUUAAUGAAAAUUCCCUAGUGACCAAAAUACCCAUAAUAAUGUAUUAUAUUGUAUUGUAUCAUAUAAUAUUAUAUUACAUUAUAUUAUAUAAUUAUAGUAAUAUAAUAAUAUAUUACUAUAUAUUCUAUUAUAUCAUAUUAUAUUAUAUUAUUAUACUAUACAAUAUCAUAUUACAUUAUAACACUAUGUUAUACUAUGUUAUACUAUGCAAUAAUGUUUUAAUAUAUAAUAAUACAUUACUAUACUAUAUUAUAUUAUAUCAUAUCAUAUUAUAUGAUUUUACUAUACUAUACAAUAUUAUAUUGCAUUAUAAUAUUAUACUAUAAUAAUAUAUUAAUAUAUAAUAAUAUAUAAUAUUACAUUAUAUUGCACUAUACAAAAUUAUGCAAGAUCCUUUAUUGUCAUUUUGUUUCAGUUUGGUUUCCAAACAAAGGUUAAAAUACCAAAGCACUUUAGAAAUAUAGUUAUUAUAUAGCAAAUAGCUUUUUGUUAAAACUCCUGCUAGCAGAAGCUCUACUUCCAAAAGCUCGAUUACCAACAACAAUCUUUCUUCAACCAAAAGAUCCUAGGGAUCCCAAAAUCAAUCGAAGCGUCCUUCCCAAUGUUACCUAGAUAUUUGCAACAAGUGCCGGUGUGUAAGCGCCCCUAAGUGUUGGACACGACAAUCUCCAAAAGUCUAGAUUUAGGAACAUGCCAUGUGUGUGUGUCAUGCAGCAUAGGGUGCAGCCAAUAGGUACUAUGACUAGCUAGACUAUGGCACGUAUAGCAAGAGCCAGUGGAUUUGCCAGAUUUUUUUAUGAAUUUUCCAUCAGGGACGGUACUAAAUUUUAGCUAGGUUUCCAUGUUGUGGUAGAAUAACUCUAGCAUGUUUUUUUAUUGUUGAGUCAUAUUUCGAGUAUAAUUUUGUAUCAAUUUAAUACCCAAUUAGGGUUAGGGGAUCAUAUCCUAUAAAUAUGUGUCUAAUGUAUUGUAAAGUUAGAGGAUCAUACCUAUAAAUGUCUCAUACAACCGUCCCAAACUGUCCGAUUCGGAGCGUCCUGAGCCGUAGGAGCCGCCGUGCGGAGGGAGCCAUGGAAGAGGGGCUCCCUUAAAAAUUAAAUGAAGUCAGCAAUUGGUUCGAAAUAUGGGCCUGGAGGGAGCCUUUCUUCCACGGCUUCUCGAUGACUCUCCGGCCUCUGCCUCCUCUAUGCGGCGGCUCUCCGACCCUCUGCUGGCUCUCCGCCGACCUCCCUCGACCUCCCCCUUCUCUCUUUCUUUUUCUCUUGUUUUUCCUCUCCCUCGCCUCUUCUACUAUGUCGGUACGGUCCUAGCACGGCACAAUACAGGCCCAUACCGACUCGUCCCACCGGGCAACCGGUAUGAUGUCUGGUACUGGUUCCGCCGACCUUGGUCUCAUGGCUUUUGACCAAGAUCCGUCGUACCGGAUCCGGUAGGCGUACCAGUCGCCAACUGGACCGGUACGGUUCCGGUUCGUACCGGAACCGAACGAUACGAACCGGCUAGCUCUUCCCCGCCAGAGCCAAAGAAGAAAAAGAGAACGAGAGAGAGCACGAGGAAGAGAGGGAAGGAGGAGACCUGUGGCCGCCAUCGGAGAGCUGCAGAGGGAUGGCGGAGGCUGGGGGCGGCGGAGCCCGAUGGGGGGCGGGAGAACCCGCGGGGGCGCGGCGGAGGCCGAGGCUGCAGGUUUUUAAUUUGGGGGUUUAAAGUGAAGUCGGCAAAUCCGUUGCCGACUUCACUUAAAAAUCUCCAAAUUUGGGCCUUGGGGCAUCAAUUUUAUUUCUUGUUUUCUAAUUUUAAAAACAAAAACAUGAAAACCAAGACAAAAACAUAUUUGGUUCUAUUGCUUCUAUUUUUUAAUUCUCAAAAGCUAUUUUUCUUAUUUCUAGAAAAAUGAAAAUCUCCCAUAUUGUCAAUAUUUUUAAAAAUCAAAAACUCAUACUUUUUGCUACCACCGUCGACGCCACCGCCACCAACAUUACCAUAGCCUUCACCAUUGUCAUUGCUGAAGUCACCUCCGCCAUCGCUACCAUCACCACCAUUGCUACCCCCACCCCUUGUCAUCACUACCACUAUUACAGCUGCCUUCGCCACACUACUGCCACCUCUGCCACACUACUGCCACCUCUGCCACACUACAGCUGCCGCCCCACACCAACACCACCACAAGCUUCACUGUCACAUACGCCAUACAACCACCACUCCCCACCAACACCACACCACAACUAUCAUCACCUCCCUACUGCUACUACAGUUCGCCGCCAUUGCCAUGUUUAUAUUUUUUAAAAUAAUUAACUAUAACAAACAUGUUUGUAUUUUAAAAAUUAAAAAAAUAAAAGCAUAAUUUCUAUUUUUAUUUUAAAUAUAAAUAAAAAAUGAAAAUCAUGCCAAAUGGCAACAUAGAAUUAUAUUUAAAAAUAAAUUAAUGGAAUAGUCACGUUUAAUUUACUUUAUAGGUUUUAAAGAUAUUUGGAGAUAAUCAAAAUGAUAACUAAUUGUGAUACAUUUAUAUUUAAAAUAUAACAACAUUUUGCUUCAAGUGUUCAUCUAACAAUUAUAAUUUUACAUUGGAAUAUAAUGAUACAUUGCUUAAAAUGUCCAUAUAAUGUAGUAUUUUUAAAAAAAUAUAAAGACACUUUGCUGAAAGUGUCAAACACUUAAAACUAAGAGUCCCCUGCAUGACAUUCAGAAAAAAAGUCAAGUGUCGGACACCUUUGCUGAUGUCAGCAAGACACUUCAAAGUGGAGUGUCCAGCAUUGUCUUGUUGUCUCCUGUGGUCUGCCCAUAUUCAAGUGUCCAAAAGUGUCAACACUUUCCAACGGCUCAAAAAUGAAGUGUCUAGGUAGAGUGUCUAGGUAGCGUAUCUCUUUCCCUCUAAACUCUCACCUUAAUAUUAUUAGACAUACUACAAAUAUCUUCUUACCAAGCUUCAAAACUCAUCAAAUGUAUAUAUUGUGGCCACAACACUUUCCAACGGCUCAAAAAUGAAGUGUCUAGGUAGUGUAUCUCUUUCCCUCUAAACUCUCACCUUAAUAUUAUUAGACACAUAUACUACAAAUAUCUUCUUACCAAGCUUCAAAACUCAUCAAAUGUAUAUAUUGUGUCAUUCUACAAGUAUAUCCACAACUUAUUAAGGAGUCUGUCCAAAGCCGCCAAGCCCAAUAAUCUUUUUUCUUUCAUUGCCAUGGUUGAAAAUGGUGUUCCUUGUUCUUACAAAUGCAUUGUAAUAGUUAGCCAUGAGAAGGGAUGCAUCAAGAUGGCAACCACAAAGAAUAUAACUAAUCUGGUCAACCAUAUAACGAUCUUAAAGUCAACACAAUAAACUAACUUCAUUUUCUUCAUCAUCUCCCAGAUAUAGAGAUUGAUGGCAUAGGUUGUUGAUACUGCACAUUCUGUUUUGCAAGCUAAUAUAAGUUUCAUGUAUUAUUUCAAUCUUAUUUGAUUAUACACUACUUGCAUCAACUCUUUUAAGACCCCUCACAUGUUGAAUAUGAUCAUAUUCAUCAAUUUUGACUUUUCCGUUCUACUAACUUAUUCCUUUACCAUCUUUUAGAUCAUGUGCUUAUAUUUGUAUCACUUGCACAUUUAUAUUAAUACAUUGGAUGUAUUGUUUUAGAUGUACGCCUUAGUCCCAACUAUUCGAUCAAAAUAUUUUAAUUAUGCUUAGUUUGCCAUACUUGUCAAAACAAAUCAAAUGAAUUGAAUUCUCUGCAACAAGCCAAUUGCCAGAAGACUUGCCAUGUAAGAACAAAAUCUGCUGCAUCUAUUCGACAGGACAACCCCUAUAUCUAUUUUUUAUCAUGUGAGUACCUCUGGAUUCCAAUGUCUAGUGUAACAUUUGCCCACAUUUAGGUUCUCAAGAAAACUAGGCAGCAAAACUUAUAGUUGAUCUGUUUUGCAUCCACUCCUUCGUUUUUCCCCCAUCAAAAAAUAACAAUAAUAAUCUUGCUCCCUGUAAGUAUAAAAUAUAAAAAAAUUGAAAUCAGUUAAUUCAUGUAUCAUAUUAUGAUGUUGUAGUGCUCAUCCUAGCUCUCUUCUGUCAAAGUGGAACAUUUCAUCUCCUCAUGUUUAAAAAGAAAGGAAAACAAAUUUCUGUAAAAUCAGUUAAACGUCAUGCCUAAUAGUACAAACAUUCAUGAAAGCAAAGUACCAUUGACAAAAGACAGCAGUCAAGUUGAGCUAAUAAAUCACAAAACUGCAGCAACUCAGACAACAAGAUCAACUUCUAAAUCCAUAAAAAUUACCAUAAAAUCAAUGGUCUUCAUCGAUUCAAUAAGCUGUGAUAUAGAGUGGCUAGAACGUUGCCUAGAAAAUAUGCUUUCCAAGUAUCUGCAGUUGUUUAUACAAGUCAUAUAAGAUGGGGUUAAUAAGUCAGAGAUAAGGCAAAAGCAUGUUUUGCUGUAUGAAAAUGACAAAUGACAAAUAUUUUUUGCAAGAGAUUUGCCAGGAAAAGGUUAAAACCUUUCAAAAUCGAGAACUCUGUGUACCUCAUUUGACCUGCGCAAAGCAGCCAAAGCUAACUGCACAAAUUAAACAAAUGACACAUAGCAUUAAGAUACAAAAUAUGAUCAUGGAAGUAAAGUCAAUUAUAUCUUAAAUAUCUUAACAUAUUUUUGUUGCUCAGAAAAAUUUAUAUUUAAAAACACUUAAUGAACAUUCAUGGGCAUUUGUUUCUGACUUAAUUAUCAUUUUAUAAAUUAAAAAGGAAGCAAUUGAGAACUUAACCCAUUUGGCAAAUUUUGGCAGAAAAAAAAAAUCAUUAUUCCACUAAGAAGUUAUUCUAAUGAUUUUGAUGGAUUAAAUUAUUUUACUUAGGAAGACAAUAAAUGAGUUCUGAACAUGCUGAUGCACUUUAUCAGAUUUCCUAUCGAUCAACUGCUGCAACUUUAGCUAGACAUGUUGUCAUUUAUAUCAUUAUUUCAAACAGCUAUAGUUGACAAUUAUUUGAUACAAAUGAGGUCAUAUAAUUUUAUAAUUCUUAUCAAUUUUCAGAAAUCCCAAGCAGUAGAAUGACAGACAAAGAAUCAAGAAAUCAAUGCCAUCAAAUUCAUAUAUAAAAUGUCUGAGGUGUUUCACAAAUUGUCAAUUUAUCUGUCAUAUACUUAUCGCUCUGGUACCUCAGUCCAUUUCAAAUUUGUUCUGGACUAAAACACAGAUUUUAAUACAAAUAAAUAAAGCUGCCAUCUUUUGAAAUGUAAAAAUGAAUUUAUCAAGAAUGAAUCUGGAAUAGAAUGAAUACCUGCCCAGGAGCAUAGAGAAGAGGUGCAUCAGUCAGCAUUAUCUUGUCUACCUCUAACUUAGCAGUUCCCCGCAAAUCCUAUGAAGGCAAUUAAGUGAAAUAAAAGAAAAAUUAGAAAGAAAUUAGGAAUAUUUGUAUAUGCAUUGAAAGUUACGUUAAGGUAUGGCCUGUGGAAUAUUGCUUUAAUAAUUGGACAAUAACCAUUUAGUUUUUUUCUUUUCGUAUUAAUCUAGCAAAUUAACCCUCUCUGGGUCCUCUACCACCUUUCAUUCAAUAAAGCCCAAAUGCAUUCCCUGUAUCCUUCCAUAAUCUUCCAUUAAGUGCCUGAGUUAACAGCACAGACUUGAACACAAAGUCAAAUUUCUUCUUCAAGAUUUGUUGCUUGUUUUAAUUUCUGUUCCACCACCUUCUUUAUAUCUUCACCAUGAAGCUCAGUAGCCUUGAUCUACAUUAAGUAACUGGGCAGCAAAAAAGUACAAAAAAGGAAGAACGAUGGAGUAUGAGAAUGGCACAAUGUGUGGCACCAUCAUUACAAAUGGACAAAUGAGGGUAACGAGGUUAAUAGGGUCAAGAAUUUUGAUGGAAGUAAGAAUAGAUUCAUUCAGUUUAGAAACAUUAUUUUUCGGAAUUCUGAGUUUUAGAAUGUUGGAGGUGGAAAUCAAGUUCAGUGUUAGAAAAAAUGUGCGUAUUUAUGCAAACACCACCAUGUUUACAUUGGGAAAUAUUGGAAUUGAUGAUGGAAAUGGUCAAUCAGUUGGAAAGAUCUAUUAUCCAUGUGCAAAAUGGCUGAUAUGAUCAGUCUAGACGUUUGAGUAACAGAAUAUUUAUCUAUAACUAAGCAGAAAAAAUGAUUAUUAGGGGAAAAAAGCAACAAGAACCUGGAAUUUUUCUUGCUCUUCAUUCCUUACUUGGCAGAACUCCUUAACAACAAAAACAAAGAAUCGCCAUAAGUAUUCACCAUAGCAAAAUGAAAUGUCAUAUUCAUAUCAACUUCUGACCAGAAUAUAAUGUGAUGUCUUACAAAAAUCUAUAAAUAUAGUCAGGUUUAGAUUACCUCCAUGUCCUCGACAAAGCCUUCAACGGAUCGAUAUGGAGCAUAAACAAUUAGAUCAAACCCCAAACUCUGAAGAGAUUGGAGUAUUAAAACAAAAAGGAAACUAUUAGCAAAAGAUAAUAAUAACAAAUGCAAAACAAGGAUGAUGAAGCGAAGGAAUCAUAUCUGCACCUGAUAAACAAUCAUCUCAUUAUUGAGAAUCAUCUGAUGGUCUUGUUGAAUUCCCUUACCAAGUUCCUCAGCAGAUACAUGAUUUUCUUCUACUUUGCAGGAGGCAUAUAUGCAAGUUAGCCUGUAGUCACAGGAAAAUAACUCAUCAUACUAACCUGCAGAUUAGUACAUAGUGGAAAGAUAGGGAGGCUAGGUCAAGAAGGCACUUGAGGCACAACUGAAGAUAGUAAGUCACAUACUUAUCAUGUGUGGCCAGGAAAAAUUUCCACAUGUAUGGCAGAAGGUACAGAUUUUCAGUUUUGACCAGUUCCGACCAGAACUAACCGAAACUGAUGGUUUUUAAUCUUUUCUUUUUAACAAGUAUUACGUUCAAUGUUCUCUAAUGCUUUCUAAAACUUGUUAAUAUUAUUCAAUGGCACAUUUAUCUAAGAUUCUAAUGAUCUCAUUUAUGUGAUUUUUGGCUAAGCUUCGUCAUUAUAGUUGACUAGAUGCAAUCUUGAUGUGUCUUUACUCUUUUUUAUUCACAAAGAAUUAGCUGAUCUUAUAAUUCCUAUUUUUUUUAUAACUUAGAUCAGUUUUUUUCUUCUUUUAGAAUAACGUAAUAUCUUUUAAAAAAAUAUAUAUUGAAAUAAAAUGAUGUAUUUUUGCUCAAAUGGACUGUUAAUAUAUGGAAUAUAAUGAAAUGUAUUCAACUUCUUAUUUGUGCUUAAAUGAGUUAUUAAAAUGGAAUAGAAGAAAAUAUGCUCGGAAGAAAGUUUAAUCCAAUGCAAAAAUUAGAGAAAAUAUUGAUAAUUAUAAAAAUACAAAUAAUGAAAAGUGUAUAAAAAUUUUAGAAGUUAGAUAAAAGUGCAGAAAAAUUAUAUAAAUUUGAGGGAAAUGUGAAAUGGCUUGGCCUAAAAUAUACAAAUUAUAAUCCUGCAUCAUUACUCAAAACACAUUAAAAUGAUAUGGAUGAAUUUUUAUUAGUCUUUACUAGAUUUUUCUGUUUUUUGGACUUUUUCUGUCUUGUUUACCAAAACUUUGAAACUUUGAGCAAAAUUGCCAAAAUUAACAAAAUUGCUGAAACAGAAACUCCACCUAGAGGACUGAAUAUCAAGCAUUAGCAAUUCAAGCAUCCUCGGUAUGUGAAGUCCUUCGUCUUCAUGUUUCAUGUUUUCAUUUCCUUUCAAACAAGUCUCCAUGUCAAGAACAUGUUUCCAUAUGGAUUAUUUAGACAAAGGCUACAACCAGAUACAUGUUUUAGGAUAAAAACCAGCUUGUGUAGUAAGUGCCAUGCCUUACAUUAUGUGUUUCGGGUGAUGCUCCAUCACCGACCACUGCAAAUAAAACCUUUUGAAGUAUAUUAUUGCUGUUGCCUGCACAAUAUCAACAGAAUAGUCAAGAAGCUUCAUUGGUGAAGCCAAAUAUGAGACCUUACCUAUAGAAAUUAGAAAAGAAGGCUAGCUACCUGAAUUUUAUGAGGAAAUUUAAAUGCUGCACAGACUUCUUGAAUCUUUUGUUCAUAAAAUACCUGCAUAAGCUGCUCCUCAUCACAAUUAAGAGGCUUAGGAACAGAUCGCUCAGCUGUGGUAACACAACAAAGGAAUUUCAAUAGACUCAAUAUAAGUAGAGUUAAAGAAGGAUAACAGAUAAUGGGAUUUAGAUGACAGAAAAUGCUAUAGUUAGACAUUGAUCAUGAGAAUUUGAGAAAUUGGAUAGAGUUUCAUAUGCAAUGGACAGAUAUUCAGUAAGCACAACUAGAAGAAAGAGUAAUUACCAUUAUCCUUUUGGUCAAGUACAGGUUCUGGGUAUGACAGUGACCCAUCAACAUCAACUUCCAAACGUGUGAUCCCAUACUUCAGAAAGGAUUAGGCAAUUUAGAUCAAUAAGGUUAAGAAAAAAACAAAUUCAUGAUUAAGAUGUUAUGAUGAAGUAGAUAAUCAUGGUUGUGCUUCUAAUUGGAACAAACAGUGACAUCCAACCAGGAAGAGAAUCCAGCUAUGGCUCUCUUAUUAAGCAAAAGCAUUAUAUUUUAAACAUUAAAUCAAAAGGCCAUGCCAGAAAGAAAAAUCAAGAAUGGCAAGAGCAGGAUCAAAAUGCACCUGUUCAAGCAUUUUUAUAGCUCUUUGAUUUGCAGCCUGAUGCUUCUCCAACUGCAACAGAAAUUACAGUUACUUUAUAAAGCAAAAGAAUCCAAAAAUCAGAAAAAAAAUUUAGGAUGAAAACGAAAUUUGGGAAUAUUCUCAUCCCGUCUUCCCCAUCUGCAAGACAACUAAAACCCAUCAAAUAAUCACCAGCUCAAUCGCGAUAUGAUCAACUUUUGGUAUAGGAAUCCACUCAAAGGACCAAUUUUUCUGUAAAAUUUCAAAAGAGAGAAGCUAAUCCGAUCGAAAAGAUCAAAACUUUUUUGGAGUAUUUUGAAUUUUACCGCAGGGAAUGAUCGUCAGGGAGGAAUUAAUUUAUAAAAAAUACUCACAAACAGAGAGAGAAACAACAAGUGAUGUGGUACAGUGGCAUUACCAGUUCCUGCGGGGUAGAAAUCCAUUUCGCGCGAUGAGUAGAAGUCUGGAAAUCUGCCAUUGAUGUUUAAACCGAGGAAACCGAUUCGGUUGGCUCUCGCUAGGGCUGUGGGAGAUGGUGGCGAUCGUCUAAAACGAAGCAAGAAAGAGGAGGCCGACGUGAACCGCUCGGGCCAGAGGACGAAGGCGUUGGCUUGGAGAGGGCUGAGCACUAAUAAGCCCUGGGCGUCGCCAUUGAAACGUGACAAGAAAAGGAGAAGGGUUGGUUUGGGGGGAGGGGGAAAGCUUGGUAUGGCGUCUUAGGGCUCUCAAACUCAAGUUCAGCUCCAGAAAAGCUUUAAUCAACGAAAGUUCGAAAUUAAUUUCAACCCUUGAUAAAAACUGACCAACAUUCAUCAGGCUUGGCUUGAUAAGACUUGGAUAUAUUUUUAAAAUUUAUUGAUAUAUUUUAUUUAUUAUUGGAAUAAAUUAGAUAUUAAUACUAGCUUGAAAGCAAGUUAUAAUUCAAGUUCGAACCCAGAAUGAUUCUAGCUUGAAUUGAUUCAAGCUCAAUUUAAAAUCUUCAAACAGAACAAUUGGAUUUGUUUCAAUCUAAAAUUAAAUUUGAAUUGACCUCAAAGUAAUGAUAAAUAAGUAAAGUUUGAUUUGACAUUUCAAACUCAAAAUUAAUUUCAAACUAAACUUGGUUAUACUCAAGCUCGAUUAAGCUUUCAGUUGUUGCACAUUACCCCCCAGGAAACUAUGAAAUAAAUUGAAGGUGCUUACAACCCUCUUGAUAUUGGAGAGUAAAUGAGCCAUGCAUAAAUGAGAAGGUCUACUUAAGCUCGACCUAGUAUUCUAGUAGGUCGCCUUGAGCUUGGCUCAAGCUGUUAAGGUUGAACUCAACCUUUGUCAUAUAAAAUCGAAUUAGCUCUAGCUAUGAUUAGUAUUGGCUCAAUUAAGUGGUGGUGGUGUUGUUGGGGGAGACUGGUGGCAAAGCCAAAUUUGACAUGGACCAAGGGGCCUAGCUAGUGCCAAUGUACUUGUUGAUGGUAUAUCGAGAGGCAAUGAGCUAAGUAGAAAAAGAGAGAUUUGACAUAAAGGACCCAACAUUGAUGAAGAGUCAACUAAUUCUAAACAUGUGACUCACAACAUACUUAAGAAAAAUAAUAGAAAUCAUGGUUAAAAUGUUAUGAUGAAGCACAUUAGCAUUGUCGUGCCUUUAACUAGUACAAAAACAGUAACUAAACCCUCAGGAAGAGAAAAUCAAAAUGUAAGCUUCUAAUGAAGAAUAAGAACUCUUUAGAUUGUUGUCCCUAAUGCGUCAUAUAGAUAGCCCUUUGCUAAGUAAUAGGUCGCCCUCUUUUUUUUUUUGAUCUAAAAGCAUGGUAAGAUCAGCAAAUAGGAACCAAAUAGAGCCUUUGUUAGAGCCUAAAAAUCCAUUCACCUCCUCUACCCCACCCCUCUUGAUCCCAACCUUCCUCUCCUCCUAUCUCCCUUCCAUACCCAAGAUUGGCUCCAAAUAAGCCCAUACCAUCUCCACAUUAACAUGUCGAGCAAGUAAUCCAUCCCUCUUCUCUUCUCUCUCCUAGGCGAGCAUACUCUCUCCUAAAAGAGUAACACCGGAGAAGUUCAAUGCUUGACAUACUUUUGUAGGUCUGUUUUUAUCUAGGCAUCUAUAUUUUUUUUUAAAAGAAAUGGGAAGGGAAGGAAGGGACAAGCCCACUCCCGUGUAGCAGCCCCCACUGGGCCCCCACCCCGCCAGGAGAAUGUUCGAUGCAGGCAAAAAUGACCGUAUGUUGGGCACCCCGACCGAUUUUACUCAUACCCUCCCCACCCGUGGGCCUGGCUCGAUUAUCCCUCUGGGCUCCGGCACGAAUACCAUGUGUGAGUACGUCACACCUGGCACCACCAAGGCUACCAACAUACGCCUUUCCAAAUUCCAUAUCCGAGCAGGGAACAUCCGGUCUCCACAAUUUAAUCGAUGCCCGUGCGUUUCGAACUUGGAACUACUUAGUUGGAAGUAAGGCCACGCUCCCACCAGGCUACCACCUCAGUGGUUCUAAGCAUCUAUGUUCAAGAAAAUAUUUUGGCAAACAUUUAGCAAGGACUAUUGAUGUGGUGUUGAUGCAAUGGAAACGUCAACAAGUACUUGGCAAUGAUGUAGCACAAAAAGCUGACAUAGCCAAAUGAUGUGGCACUGUUGAGUGGACCGAACUAAGCUAAAUAGGUCAACAAGUCAGAUUAGGAUUAGAUCCAAAUCCAAAGGUUAGAUCAAAUCAAUAGAUCAGAUUUGAUGGUUUGAACCUGGAUCCAUGGGUCUUUCUACCAGGUCUGGGUCGGAUCUAGAUUAGACCCAGAUCUAGUUUGAACCUGAAGGAUGACACCCUGAGCAUGAGGGCAGCAGGAGAUGACACCCUGAGAGAAGGCGUCCGAAGGAUAAUGAUGCUCGAAGAUGAAGAUGCCACCAAAGAGGAGAAGGCCUCGGCCUGGGUGGUGAAAUAGAGGAGUCGGCAGAGGUGAAGCAGGGGAGGCCGGUCAAAACGAGCUGUGAUGGUCUGGAGAGUCCAACACACCAUUGUAGAAGAUUGGUGACGGAGGUCGAUGAGGUGAAGAAUCAUCAGUGAGAGUAAAGGACAAGGGCGACGAGGCGGCCGAUGAUUGCAGAGGGGUAGCCGAGACUCAAGAUAGCUACGGAAGGGGAGAGGAAGCUAUCGUUGUAGGAGAAAAGGGAGACAAAGGAAUCGAAGGCAUAAAUCUAGCCAUCGAUCGUAAUAGGGAGCGGCUCCGGCAUCAAGCUCAUGGCAGGCAGCCUCCUUGCAGAUGUUCCCGUUUGCCAGGGUAGCGAGCUCGUGGAGCAGGAUGGCAACGUGGGCGAGAGCGAGAGGGCUCCAACAGAAGGGUGGCGGCCACUGGUGGUUUGGAUGGAGAUUGGCGGGGGUGGUCGUGAAGAGGGGAAUCGUCCCCUUUUUUUCUCUAUUUUUUCCUUUCUUUUUUUCCUCGCAGUACUGCAAUAUAACAGGGAUUUCUUUUUCUCCAUCCUUUUUUGGUGAUGGUGUGGACGACCAUGAAUUUUAGAGUGGUGCUGAUGUGCUACGGUAAUGGGGGGUGGAUCAAGGUUUGCUCGGAUACCAAAUUGAUGCAGGAUAGAAGGAGGAGGAAAAAAAAAAAGGAGGAGAAGGACGUAAAAAAAAAAGAAGGCAACUCUAUAUUCUCUUAUCUUAAAUGCCAAUAAUACAAACUUAUGUUGCCAAUUACAUAGCAAUAGAUUUAUAUAAAUCUAAAACCCUACUAAAAAUUUACAUAAAAAUAGAAUACUAUAGUCCUUAUAAAAUUAUAGCCCUAGAGUCUACAUAAAAAAUAAAAUUCUCUAAUUCCCAAAUAAAAUAAAAUUAUCUUAAAUAAAAUGUAAAUUUCUAAUUUCUAUAUUUGCAUCUUAUAAGGCGGUCCUUCAUCAGUGAUAUACACCAUUACGCAUCUCUCCCACCCAAUCAGCUUCUUCGCAGUGAGGUCCUGAAUUAUACAAAUGCUCAAGAAAAAUAAAACAGCACAAAUCAAUGCAUUGGUUAGUUUGCUUAUUGAUAAUAAGUUGAAGUAAAAAUUUGGAAUUCACAAAACAUCACAAAAAGUUAUAUCGAUGAUAAGGAUACCAUGCUAGUGUGAGCGGUUGGGACGUAAGUACCACCAAGUAAUUUAGCACGCUUAGUGUCUACGCACUUCUUAACAUUUAUUAUAUCAGAAAGAUUAGAUAUCAUAUGGUCUGAAGCCCCACUAUCUAUUACCUAAUCAUCAGAUUCAAGAAGAGUAUGGUUGCAAUAUCGCUUACCAAUAUGGUGUGCUUGAGGUGAUUGUUUCUCUUGGUUAAGAAGAUUUAUGGGUUGUUUGUACUAGCUGGUAGUUAACCUAGGCAUAGGAGAGGCUUCGACAUUCUUACUAGCAAUGUAGAAAACAUCAUUAGUGAUAGCAGCAGGAUAAGGGUGAGACACCUGAGUAGCAUGCACAUUUUCUUGAUGCUUGGUGUUCUCCCUAGCUUUGUUUGAAUUACGGUUUCGUAGUACCUAGUUUGAAGGGUAGCUAAUAAAUUUGGAGCAAAUUUCUUUAGUGUGUUUGAACAGCCUAUAAUGAAUACAAGGAAGCUUUCUUUUGUCUUUGCUUAUAUUUUUCUACCAUUGGAUUGGCCUCCUGAGUGCCACCACUUCAACAUGACAUAUGUUAAAAGAAGCCAAUAUUUGUUGUUUUUCUUCUUGACAAACCAAGGAAUAGGCUUUGUUAACACUAGGAAAAUGAUCCAUUGCUAAUAUUUAUGUGCUAAUGGUGGCAAAAUUAUCUUUCAAUCCCAUCAAACAUUGAUGAACGUUUUGCACUCCAUCAUGGUGACAAGCUCCCUUGAUGUUCCACACUUGCCGUAUGGAUUCCUAACUCAUCCCAAUAACCUUUAAGAGUGGUGAAGUAUCCUAUGAUAGAUUGUUGUCUUUGUUCAUACAAGGCAAUGUUACAACGUAGUUGAUAAAUUCGGAUCUUAUUUCCUUGAGAAAAUCAUUGUUCAAGAUCCUUCCACAUUUCUUGAACCGUGUCAACAUAGGCAACACUAUUGUGGAAGUAUUUUGACAAAGAGUUGAAAAUCCAUGAAACAACCAUGGGAUUAUAUUUUUUCUAGGCUUGGACAUCUAAGAGAGGGGCUGAUGGCAUUGACAAGGAUCCAUCAACAAAGCAUUUUUUUGUUUUUGGCAAUGAGUGCAUUCCUUAUGGCUCUUUUCCAAGUAGAAUAAUUAUCACCAUCAAGAAAAUAUGGCAUUAAAAUUGCACCUGGAAUAUCGGAUGGAUGUAGAUAGUAUGGAGAAGAGGCAGAGAUAUUAUUGUUUCAUAUGGAUGAGGACAUAUAGUAGACCAAAGAAUAAAUAUGUUUUUGAAGGUAAGAAAAUAAAAGCAAAAAACCGUUGCAGAGAAAUAUGCAGACCUAAGGACUGCUAUCGCUUUUAUACCAUGAUGAAAUGUUGAUUAAAAUGGCCUAAUUUUUUUUGAGUAUAGAGAAUAGGUAUGUAUACAUCAUAUAUAUACAAAUUCAGCAUGCAGACAAAAUCAAAGAAAAUAUAAGUCAAGCUAGAUAAAUUUCAUAAAUCAAUCAAUGAAGAAUACUGCCUCAGUUGACCAAGUAAACAUGGUAAAUGAGGACAAAUCCUAUAAAUUAAUCCAUGAUGGUAGCCGCGUAAGUUGACCAAGUAAACAUGGUAAGUAAAAAAAGUUUUGAGGAAACUUUGGAAGUCUAUCUCACUAUUGGGGUGGCAUGACUAGGGCAAGGGUUGGGGAGAGAUGCAACUUCUCUUAAUUUGCAUGGUGGGACGGGGCCAUGAGAAAGUACGCCCUUUCAGUAACCAGUUAGUUUAUAUAUUCCACUUUUACCCCAUUAAAAUAAUAUGCAAAAUAUUUACAAUGUAAAAAAGUAGGCAGAAGCAAAACUAUGAUUUCUUUCUAAGAAUUGCUUGUUUGUCAAGUGCCUAAGGUCAGAUUUGAUGACCAUGGUUUGACGUAAUUCAUUAUCAUGUCGUAAUGGCCAGUACUGAAACCAUUGUUUUCUAUCAUAAUGGUUAUAAUGUCUGUCAUUUAUCUCAAUAGUAAUCUUUAUAACUCUUAUUGUUAAAACAAUCACUGAAAUAAAGGUUGCUAUAAUGGUGUAACAGUCUCCUGGUUUUUUUAGAUAAAAUAAUAUAUUUUUUAGACUGUACAAUCACUUUGGAGGAAAUUUUAAGAGAAAGAUUUAAAAUUUGAAAUAAAUAUUGUUUUAUUGAAAAGAAAGUAUGUUACAAUGGAUAUUAUAGUUGUUGUUGUGGUUGAAAUUUGGCCUGAGGGUGACCACGCCGGAGGAGACCAAGAAGACGCUGGCUGGGAUGGAGAAAGGGAAGAAAGAGAGUCAGCUCCUGUGCACCGGUGUACCUGCACAAAACCUUGGCCAGAGAUUCCGGCGAGGGCCCUCCGAUGGUUAAGUUAGCAGAGUUUUUUGGAGAGGUUUCUGGGUGUUUUGAAUUACUUUGUAUUGCUUCUAAUGACUUACCGAAGGUCUUUACCUAUCUCUUUUCUAUAGGGUGAGGGUCUCGACCGUUACCUAAAGUCUCGGGCCGAGUUGCAAUCAGCUGGCCAUUAUUCGGAGGUGGCGUAGAAUCACGGAGAUCAAUCCCGCGGGCGGAGGAUUUGGAAAAUAACUUUUGAGAUUUGUUCUGAGGAUCCGCAGGAUCUUCGAUGGGAUCAAGGUUGACAGGAUUGAGAUCGGCUUGGCCUUCAGCGGGGUCCGAGGUCGGCCUGGCUUUUAGCAGAAUCGAGGUUUGACCUACUCGGCUCUGAGAUCUGCUCGGUCGGAAUUGGGUGGCUCCGCGUUGGAGUAGGACGAUCCAUUUUGCCUUCCAUCAAUUGUCAUAAUGUUAUUAUUUAAAACGAUGGUGAUGACUUGCUAGGUAAAUUGUUAUACUAGAGCAAUUUGAAGAUACACACUAGUAGAUAUAUAUCUAUGAUCGCUAUGUAUGACCAAAUUAUGCAGUCAUCUUGCACGAUGUGCCUUUGCAUUAUGGUGCCGGACAGACAUCAGCAUUAGAUAUACUCUGUUGACGUAUCGGAGCAAGCCUCCCUUCAGUGUCAUUCUAUUGCUCUAGUUCUAUUAAGCUAUGGAGGCUGACGUUAAUUCCUUUCCAUAGCACUGCUCUCGGAAGAGUCAAAAUCCAGGCCUAGAUAUGCUUCAGACUUGUAAAGUGUUCUAAUUAAGGAUGACAAUUUAUGAUUCGAUCCAUCAAUCUGACUCACGAACGACCCGUUUUAAGUAAGUUUGGAUUUGACAUAUAUGAAUUUGGGUCGUAAAUGGGUCAACCCGUCUAAUUCUAUUUAUUAAAUGGGUUGGCUUCAGUUUAAACAUUUGACACGUUUAACUCAUUUGACCUAUUUAAUAAUUGGGUCGAGACCCGUUUAACCUAUUUAAAAUCUAUUUAACCUGUUUGAAACAUGCUUAACCCGUUUCAGAUCUGGUUAACUUGUUUAAUCUAUUUAAAUCCAUUUAACAUAUUAAACCCCGUCUAACCCAUUAAACCUAUAUAACUUGUUUAAUAAAUGGGUUAUGUGGGUCAGAUCGAAUUACUUACUAAAUAAAAAGGUCGGAUAUAAAUUUAAAAUUUUGACAUGUUUAAUAAAUAGGCUGAAUAUAGAUUGAUAAUUUUUUUUAAUCCGACCUGCAUCUAAUAUAACCAAUAUUUGACCCGAUCCAACCUUAUUGCCACCUCUAAUAUUAUUCCUGAUGCAUAUAAAGUAUUGUGAGCCAAGCGAGUCUCCUUUGCUUAGAAGACUUGAUUUCCAGUGACAACUAAGAGUCGCAACCGAACCUUCAUUUUAGAUUCCGGAGAUCUUGUUGAUGUCUAUUGUAGAUAUGGCUCUCUUUCCGAAAGAGAACUUGUCGCUCUCCGACUUUUUCUCCGGAUGGAGAUUGUACCCAUGCAAGAGUAUUCUCUUGUAAAAGCAAACAUCUAUUUCUCUUGCCUGUGUAACUAUCACAUAAGGACUAAAUCAUAUGCUUAUUAUUUUCCUAAGCAUGUGUUGUAAAAUUACAAGAAAACCAUGGCUGGUUGUUUUGAGAUUCUUUUUCUUGUAAUUAUCACCGUCAUAGCCAUAAUUACAUUUAGGAUAUGUUUGGCUCGUGAUCAAAGAUAGAAUCAUAAUUGAAAUCAAAAUGGAUGAAAAUGAGAAUCAACAUGGUCACAUUCUUCAAUGUAUUUGGUUCAUGAUUGGAAUUAGAAUCGGAAUCGAAAUGAGAUUUAAAUACUAGGAGAGAGUCGGAAUUGAAUUUUGGGAGAUUAAAGCAUUUUCAUUCUCCUCUAAAAUCAGCAUGGUAAUGAAACUCUUUCCAACCAAAAGGUUGAAUGGGAGUCACUCAUUCCCUUUCCUAUUCUAGAGCCCAACUCUCCCUAAUCAAACAUGCCCUUAACUCAUCGGUAACAUUAGAGGUAUGAACCUACCAUUAAAGAAAAAAGAGCCCUUAGAGGUAUAAACAGCCAAAAUCCACCCAACUGCCCAAAUGCAUGAUUAACCCCACCCAAGUGUGCGCAAACUAAAUGUCCUCAAAAUCAGAGAGAAAUUGUAAAACCUAGAAAACUAAAAUCGGUCCACUUGACCGGCCCAACCAUUUUUUGCCUUAAUACUUCACAUGCAAUGUAUGUGGGGGAGGAAGGAGAAAGACUCCGACUGUGAGUCUUCUUCUUCCCCGAUCAUGCUGAUCAGAAUCUUAUCGCAAUCCAAAGACCAGCCAAAUAAGACCAGGAUUGCCUAUUUAAAGACCUCCUCCUUCGAGUUCCAUUACCCAAUACCCGAGAUCAAGCCACCAAUCCCAAGCUCUACUUUUAGAUUUUCUUCCUUGAUUUGUCAUCGAAAAGAGCCGCCGAACCACCUCAUCGGACCGAGGUAAGUGUUCCUCAUCUUCUUCUCUCUCUCUUGGUAUUAUAGCCAUGAUUCAUCCUAAUUUGGGCUAGCAAAUUGCCAGAAAACCAUCCAAAAUUGGGGUGCCCUGUUUCGGUCUCCUUUUCUUUCGAGUUUGCCGCUGCUAGCCGCCGAGGUUGGUUGAGCCUUGCUGCCUCCUAGACUGCUGAGAUCAUAAGGCCAUCGAUUAGGGUGAUGGUCACGAUCUAAGCCAAAUUGAUGGGUUGUUUUGUGAUGAAAUUUUUACUUCCCUUCUUCUUUGCACCGACCCGCCACUAUCACUGUGGGUGCUGCCGCCGACAAUGACUGUGGUUGAGGAUGGCAGUGGCUAUCGUUGUUGGGGCUGGCUACUAAGCUGCAUCUGGAUUUGACCAAAGAGGAAAGGAAGAGACAGACUCUCUCCUAUUUUGGAAAAAAAGAAGAGAGUCUCUCUCUUCUUUCUCUCUCCUCUCUCUUUCUCUUUCCUAUCUCUUUCUUUGUUUUCUUUUCUCUCUCUACUCUCUCUUUAGUGAUGUUGGAUAUAGCAUGUCACCUCACUUUAUGAUUCUGGAUCAACCUUGGUGAAGGGCCCUAAUCCAUGUUUGUGGGUGGCACACCAACCCCCACCUUGGCUCUUUCCAACACUGUUAAAAUUAGUCACCCAAUCUACUAAACCACCUUUAUUCUAGUUUGAGCAUGAUCAGAUGAAUUCUGUUUUGAUCGGACCGACCGGGAUCUUGGGCACUCCCGCUAGAUCAACUUUAUAUGGGUGCUAGACUUAGGAUUUUUAUUCUCUGAAUAACUAUGAUAAAUUUUGAUGUUAAUGCAAUUUUUAAAUAUCAAAAUUUGAGAAAAUUUUUGAAAUUGAUUGGACUGAUAGUUUUGGAUUCUCUUGCAAGGUAAGUAAUGUAAUACUCUUUCUAGAUUUAUCGACAAAUUAUAAAUAUUUCAGGAAUUGAAUCAUUCUUGAUUUAUGAAAUUGAUGCAUAGUAUUUUAUUAUUAUAUAUGCCUCUUUCUAGAAUAUUCCAUAAUUUUUAAUUGAACAUAAUAAUUUUGAUAGAUUAUUUUCGAAUAAUUUCAAUAUCAUAUGAAUUUGCGUAUCGUAUAAUUUGGGCCACUAAAUAUACUUUUAAGAAAAAGAGUUUUAAUUCGAAACGAAUUUGGACUCACAACCGGACUAUGUUUUGAUAUCCUGCCAGUGAAGGUUGUACGUUGGCACUUCGAUAUCCUACCAAUGGGGGUUGUACGUUGGCACUUAGAUAUCCUACAAGUGGAAUUGUAUGUUGGCAUUUCAAUAUCCUGCCAGUGGAAAUUAUCAUUGACACUUUGAUAUCUUUCCAUUGGGGGUUAUGUGGUGACACUUUGAUAUAGUCAUAAUUCUUGGCUAUCAAGUUGAAUUUGAUGAUUUGAAAGAAAUUAAUUUAUGAAUGAUAUUUGAAUUGAAUUUAGCAUAAAUAAUGUUUUACUUUUUCUAAAUUUAUCAUCAUUUUUUAUAAAAUUAUUAUAUUCAUCACUUUUGAGUGGUAUUAUUUAUGAUGUAUGAAUUUGAUGCAUAGUAUAUUAUUAUGGAAUAUAUUAUUCUAGAAUAUUAUGAUGAUAUAUAUGAUCUUAUUAUAGAUAUGAUUGAUUAAUUUUAACACUGCAUGAUUUUAGAAUUGAAAUAUGAGUCUAAAACUAUUUGAAUUUUGACUUGGCUAUGUUGAGAACCCCGCCAAUGAGGGUAAUACGUUGGCACAUGAUUUAUCCUGAAAGCUAUAUCCAAGAUGAUGAGCGACAUACCGCAAAAAAAUAUGCGAUCAUGAAGGACUUUGCUAUAAGAUAAUGUUAGCUCGCCACAAGAAGAUGCACUGUGUUAUGACCCUUCCAUAGGAAAGAUGUGGUCAUAGCUCAAGAUCGAUAAGAAAAAUUGAAUAUUAAAAAGAAUUUAAAUUCAUAAAAAAAUUAAAUUUUUCAGAAAGAUUUGAUUUGUAUAUUAGUACUACAUAUAUGUUUAUUUUCUGCAAAUUAUUAUCUACUUAAUUGCCUGAUUUAUUUAGCUAAAGUGAUCAUUGUUUAGUAGGUUGUCUAGCUCAUUAUAUGAAUUCUUACUGUUUUUAUAGAUCCGAAAAAUUAGUUCGAUUUGGAGAUUUAUCAUAGGAGAGUGUUAGAGACAAAUAUUUUGACAUCUUUAUUUAGACUAGAUUUUACUUUAAAGUUGAUGCAAAAAUUUUAGAAUAUUAUUGGUUUUAUAAGACUUUUACUUUUAUUAUUUAAUUAAAAUUUGAACGUUAAUAUUUAAAUUAUUUUUAUUGUCUGAUUAUGAUAUCAUGAUGAGAUACCUUGCAUGCUUGUUGGAAGAGUUUUUCAUGAGUAUGUGGCGGUUGCCACGACCCUUGGUUUGUAAUUUUGGGUUGGGGGCAUGACAAAAACACACUUGCAAUUUUGGUCUAGGCUCUAAUGGCGAGACUAACUCAUCUGAGCAAAAGUUACCACCGAAGUGAGACGAUCACUCUCAAUGAUCAUCCUUGUAGCAUGCAGUUUCUCAAGCCACUCUCCUAGCCUCUAGAUCUUAGAGCUUACUCUUUGGCCAUUGAUAAAGUGUUGGUAUGAAAGGCUAUGGAGUUGUAGAUGAUAGAAGAUCCCUGAAAGUUAUGGAAUUUUAGCCAUCCCACUGUAGGGCUGCUCCCAUUCCAUUGACAUUGUCUUUUGAAAAAAUUGAGAUCAAACUAUUUAGAUCUACUAUAUAGUGGUCCAUUGCCUUUGAUCAUGACCAUCAAAAACAAUUGCCUGUGGGACGCUAGAGUAAGCAACGAGCACAGGACAAAGCAACUAAACCAUCAAGUAGGUUAGGAUGUCCAUCCCGACAUUCCCCAAAAGAGAGUCGUCAUUGGUUGUCUUUUCCAAAAGACGUAAGUUUUAGUUAUGUAAUAUAUGUGAAUUGAGGCUUGCCCUAAUGAUCAUUUUCCUAUGCUUAGAAAUCAAUAUUUGAAACUAAUAUAUGCGCAUAACCUUAAUAUCAAUUUCUAUUAUUCUAAUUAGUAUGAUUUUUCAUGACAUGUUAUAUCUACGUUCUCUGUGCCCAUAUAUAUAUAUAUACACACACACUACCAUUAGCAAUGUGCCAAUGAACGCUAUCUUUUAAUUACUAUAUAAAUUUCUAGUAAAAAAAAUGGUACUUAGUUCCAAAAGGACUGUAUAGAAUCUAGAAGCAAGAUUCGCAGUAUCAGAAAGUUGAAUCGUACGCCAAAUUUGUGGAUAUCUUAACUUGCCUUUACAAUAUUCGAUCAAUGUGCCUUUUGCCUCUUUUUUUUAAUCAAGUAAUUUUUUGAGCUCUAUGAUGUAGCAUUACCUUGUAAGGAUGUAGUGCACCGAGCAAGGAGUUGCGAGUCGAUACCAAAAAAAAUCUUUCUAGGAUAGAUUUUGAUCAGGCAUAUCUCCCAAUCAGGGAUUAAUUGGGCGAAACGGCUACAAACAAAGUCAAUACAAAAGUCAAAAUCUACCUUCUAUAGGAUAUAAACUUUUUUGUGAUUAUUUUUACUAGUUGUGCUUAUUUUAGAAAAGUUGCAUCCUCUUUAUAACUAGAAGUGGAAGUCAACCGAAUUGCAUAAGGGCGGACCCCUAAUAUAAAUAGAGGCCUUUUAACUUCAUUUUAUUAUGCUUUAAUUAAAAAAAAAGGAUCUAGAUCCUACUUUCAUCAAUUUUUUUAUCUUUUAUUUUUUAAAAAAUUCGAGUUGAAUAGGUUGAAGAAAUUAUAUCCUUCUCUAUGAUCAAAUCGCACUUUGUGUGAAUGUUAUCACUUAGGCAAAGUAGGCAUUGAAAUUUCAUGCACACCUAAGGAUUCAUGUUGUUUUAGUCUAGUGCAAAGUAGGCAAAAUACAGACGUUGCUACAAAAUUGUAUGUUGGGCUUGACAUUAAGAAACAAAUUGCCAGAUUAGUCCAUUAUCCCCCAUGAAAUUAGGAGGAUGGGGGUUCCUAACAUACUGUAGUCAGAGUUCUUAUUUAAAUAAUAUCAUCCAAAAGAUAAAAAAAAGUCUUAGCUCAUCCUACAAAUGAAUACAGAAAUACUAAAAUAACAAGCAACUGCCAUGAAGACCACUAAGAAUUUACAGUUAGAUAUGACUUAGAUUGUUACCUCAGCGAUCAUACCCUUUCGCCUAUAGACAAUAGACCCCAAUUUUUAGCCUUCAACAAUGGUGUAUCUACUUGAUCUUGUCACUUAUAUAUACAUGCACACACACAUAUAGUUAGGUCACUUAAAUUUCUACUUGUACCGAGGCCCACACUAUUGUAAGGCACCAUUGCACUCAUAAGCAUAAUUUACUUCAAUGAGAAAUACAGAUUUGUUGCAAGUAGAAUUAGGACUGUUGGUAGACCAAGGAGUUGUGAACCUAAUUCAGUAAUGUUUAUACAAAUUUGUUGCAAGUAUUAUCAGAGCCGGCCCAACCCUUAGGCGACUGAGGCGGUCGCCUAAGGCUGCAGCCCAAAGAAAGCUUACCACAAAAAAGGCCUCAAAGACAAAACAGAAAGAAAAAAAAAGACUCUUAGUGAGUUCGCCCUAGGUCGGUCCACUGUAAGAAAAAUCUUAAAGACAAAAUGGAAAGAAAAAAGAUCUCUCUUUAUGAGUUCAUCUUAGGCCUCCAAAUACAUUGAGCCGCUCCUAAGUAUUAUCAGACCAAAGAGUUGUGAAUCUAAUUCGGUAAUGUUUUGGACCUUGACAUUUAAUUGUUGAUGUCCAACAAAAUUUUCUACAUGCCAUGUCCCAAACCUAGACUAUUGACAUCUCCAGCUAGAUCUCUUGUGCCGCACAAGAAGCAAGUCCCACCUACAACCUAUAUGGCCUCUGCCACACGUGCCAGUCACCCUCAAGCAUAGUAGGAGCCAGGGAGAAGCGCCACUAAAUUUGUGUCGUGGAGGCCGGCGUGCACGGUUUUUGUCACCAAGUAAUGUGGUCGUGGACCCAUUCUAAAAUUUGUCCUUACCAGGCUAAACUGUGGGUCCCACAUUCCACUACUGACGUGUCCUCUUUAGUGGGGCAAUGAUGUCAGAACCGCACAGUCUGUUGGGCGCCCUCUAGUUGGGUGGUCCAGCGAGGCCGAUCUGAGGUGUCCGAUAUCGAGGAGACACGCCACGUGUAGGCCCAUCGACUGGCCAGGCGCCAGCCCAGGAGGAGAUUCCGUAUCUUUCGAGACGCGUACGGCCGCCUACGUCCCCAGAUGGGUUUGUUGGAUGGCGGACCAUGCAAAUAACGACGUUAUUUGCCCGCAUUACUUAUGAUGGAGUGGGAUAUUGCAGAAUAAAAUAAUUAUUGUUAUAAUAACGGCUAGCAUUAGUUAUUGCAAUGUGAACAAUAAUGAUUAAUAAUGAAAGAUUAACAUCAUGGUUUAUCAAAAGACCACUAUUAAGUCUGAUAAAAAUAUCAUUUUCUAGCUAGUAUUUUUAAGUUAAGAACAUUAAUUUUCUUAUUGAAAAUAAAAGGUGAAAAAUAUUGAUCAAAAUUAUUAUUUUUGUUAUCCGGUUAAAAUGCUUUGGCAAACUGUUGCUGCCUUUUCCAUUUUGUCCCAAAAUUCCUAUAAACUUGCUUAGGCAAAGAUGCACAGUUAACUAAAAAUGUAUUAUUUGAAGGGAGGAUAAAAUGUAAUAUGGGUUUGGUAUCUUAAUCUUCAAGAACUUUUGCUACUGUCACAUCACGGUUUGAAGAAGAUGGAAUUGCAUACGAGUGUAGCAUUGGGCUAUGGCAAAGAUUUUAAGUUAUGCUUACUCAUACAAUAAAAGAUUAAGAUAAAGAUAAAGGUAAUUUGAUAGGUUUAAUUGUUGAAUGAUCUUUAUAUAGUACAAUUCUUCUUAUUCAUAUUACAAUACGAUAUGUAACUGCCUACUCUAACAGUUGCUAUCCACAUCUGGUCUCAAUUUCUAGCGAUUCUGGUAAGACGCCAGCCAUCUCCUAAUACGCACGUUCAUUAGCACGAUUAUGCACCACUAUUGCCAAUAGUGGUAGAUAGUGCUGCCACUCCAUUCAUAUCUUACAUUUAUAUGGACAUCUUGCAUCUCAAUUUUUAGAUACUGCUACCAUAGUUAGUGAAAAGAUGGAUAUCACUAUUGACUAAAGACAUUUCUUCUUACUAUUAUAUGCCACAUAAGCCAUCAUUGCCAUGCAUGAUAGAUAAUUCGAUGACUCUUCCCAUGCAUGGAUAGUGGUAACCAUUGGCCAACCACCAUACUUAAAUUAUACUCUGCUAAAGCCUCGUUCUUGGCGCCCACCGCCGGUUGAUGUCACUUGGCAUGGAUCUUUGGCCUUUCGAUUAACAUUUUUGGUGUUUCGGCCAGAAAUUUUAGUAUUUAGGCUUGCACCCUCCUUAGUGUAUUGAUCAGAAUCCUUAGUAUUUUGGCUAAAAACCUUAGUGUUUUGGCCAGAAAUAUUGGUGUUUCAAUCUAAAACUAUGGGUGUUUCGUCUGAAAACCUUAGUAUUUCUACUAGAAACCUUGGCGUUUCGAUUUAAGAAUGUUGGUGUUUCAGCUAGAAAUCUUAGUGUUUUGGCUAUAAACCUUAGUAUUUCAAUCUGCACCUUCAUUGGUGUAUUUGUCAGACUUCUUGGUGUUUCGGCCAAAAUAUUGGUAUUUUGACUACUUGGUAAGAGGUUGGCGGGCAAUUCGGCUUGGUACUUAAAGUUUNNNNNNNNNNNNGACAUCUUUUCAAAACCUUCUAUUCAACCUGCCUAAGGUGCCUCUUUUGAAGAUUUGCUAUUACUGUGUUUAUAUAUAAUGACCCUCAAAGACUUAUUGUUGAUCGAUCUUUAAAUAAAAAAUAUUAGUCUGAAUAUGGUGUAAACACGUACACGAAAAAAUUUCUAAGAUCCAUUAAUGUUGGCUUGCUAGCUCCUCAUCAAGUCAUCUUUUGCACUGUAUCAAAUCCUACAAAUUGCGCUCCUCUCCAUGAGAGGGAGAGAUCCUUUGGUGUGAAUAAUUUGAGAGCCCUGACAAAAAUAUUUAAUAUAAUAAUAGAAUGAUGUUAACAUUUUUUGCUCAAUUAUGUGUCAUGUGAUAAUUCUGGUUCAGCAUAUGAGUUAUAUGUGAGUCUAGUAUCAAGGUUGGGCCAAUCACGGAUGCCAUGGAGCAAAGAAUGUAUGAAGCAAAAGUAAUAGUGAAUUUUAGUAUUUUUCUGACAAAGUCCUAGUAUAGUCUUACUUAUUUUUAAAAUUUCUACCAUAUUUAGACAGAAUCUAAUAAAAUCCCAUUGAUAUGACUGUAGCUAUUGUUUAACAUUACAUGGGACGUUAUUUUAAACCAUGCUGCCGGCUAGAAUUACCCUCGUAAAGGAUUAAUUACUAAUAUACGCGAAACUAAAUGGGAAACCUAAUUGUAGUAACCAAGGUUGUUGCCCUAUAUAUUUCCACACGUUUUCUUGUACGCCACCGUUCAGGAGCUGAGCUCAUCUAGGCUGAGAAUAGAUCAAAUACCGAUUGGAUAUCAACGUCCAUAUCCAUCUCCAUAUCCAUAUUCAUUUAUAUUUAGCAAAUAAAGAUAUCGAUAUAGAUAUUAAUUCGAUAAAAAAAAUAUAUCCAUAUUUAUUUUAAAUAUAUAAAAUCUAUUUAUAUUUGGCAAAUAGGGAUGCCAAAUAUGGAUAUUAAUUCCAUAAAAAAAUUUAUAUUCAAAUAGCUAAAUUUUGAGACAAUAAAAUCAAAAACUUUGUUGAAAAGAAAGCAGAUAAAGUUGAGAAUAUCUUAAUACAAUCAUAUAUUUUUCUUACGUUCAUGAUUACCAUAUAAAAUUAAAUAUAAUUAUAAAUAUAGAGAAUAUUCCGAUAUGAAAUGGAUAGUUAUCUAUCCAUAUUUGUAUAGUUUAUAUCUAUCCAUAUUUUUACCUGGGGUUGCUGUCACAGCAGUGGAAUGAGUGUCUCCUUGCAUGGGAAGAAUAUAUUUGGUUUUGCUUUGGGAAAGAUUGCUGCCUUGUCUUUUUUUUUUUUUGUGUUGUUGUGUGUGUGUAUUGCGUCCAAGCUGGGAUAAAAGAUAUGACCUCCGGAGGACAUGAUCCUCCCCGGGAUAUCUAUUCCCUCGUCAUCAUAUGCAUCCUUCUAGCUAGCAACUGGGUCAAAUACUACUAUAAAAUGACACCAGAUAGUCACAAGCAGCCUGCAACAUGCUGCACUUUCCUGUUUGGAGUCCCGUUUCUCGCACUGUCUGGUGUUUCCUCUGGUGCCAGCUUGUGAUGAUGUCUUCAUUGGAUUCUUUGAGCCAGUCCAUAGCAACAACGAAUGGUUCCUGUACCAAAAAAUAAAAACAACAAAUGGUUCUAAAAGAAUACAGCUAUAGUUUUUGUUGUUAUGGAACUGCUGCAUGUAUCCCUCCUGCAUGUGACUGACCGCAUGGUCCACAUAAUCCUUAUGCACAGCUAAACCAUGCCUCUCCCCACCUUGGUGCACAUAUUAUAACCUGUUCAUGCACAAGCACACUGAUAGCCAACAUACUAACUAUAUUGAAUGCUUUGGAAUGACAUGUCAACUUGGUUUGUAUGUGAACUUCUAGCUGCAAUCAGCUGGUAAUUAAUCACCAUCACAAGAACCAUUAGUAGCACUUACAAUGAAAGUUAUCGAUCGUUAGAGGGAUUAAAAUCCAUAGUGUUUCUCGCAAGAUCGAGUUUAAAUUGGAAGUAUAACUUAUGAAGGUCAUUAUUUAUUCUGCUAACAGUUGUUAUUAUAGAGCAAUAGCUGAAUGAUAGAAGUUAAUUAAGCAGAAAUAUCGGCUAAAUUUCAACAUCUUCGGAUACUGUUAUAAAAAUAAUGCGAUUCCAGCAGAAUACUUAUUAAUAUGAUAGCGAAGUUUUUCUAAAGGAAUCUUGUCUAUGGUGAAGGACCUAAAUAUAUGCAGAAAAGCUGGAAUGAUGAUGGGACUGGCUCCUAUAGAUGUGUGCCCUUUAACUUAAACAAGAUUACUUAGGUUUCAUUCUCUCUCUCUCUGUCUUUCAUAUGGAUAUUCUAUGUGAUUUGACAAUUUUCUUUAUUAAAUAUCUAAUAAGAUAUAUAUAAAACACAAUUAUUCCAAGCAAGCUAUUGUUAAUUUUUCUUUUUUAAAAAAAAAGUGUAUGAUGGUUGAAAUUUCAGUUACAUUUUGACAUCAUAUAUUUGUAUUGUUAUACUACCCAUUUUAACCUCGAUCGCUGCUGAAUUAUAUGCCAUUAUGUUCUCUUGAUAUGAGCGAUAUCUAACCUAUGAACCUCCCCUUAUAUCAGAUCAUAUCAAAUUAAAACAUCUGCUUGCAUGGAUGAAGGCGAGUUACCCCCCCUAAACUUAGUUGUUUCCUCCCCUCCGUUUCCCCAGCCGUAGCAAAGUUGACAACUAAGGUACGUACGUAGUAGGUAAACCUCCUAAAUAAUUUAGUCGCCCAGGCACUGACCUAGCAGCAGAUCUUCCUCCUGUACGGAUCCAAGAGAUCCUCCCUACCUCCCCCUCUCCUACCAUUCCUUCUAACUUAAUUAUUCUCCUCUAUCUCCAUCAUAAAUAUAUCCUCAUCAUCAUGCCUCCAUAAAAUAAAAACGAACAACCCUUCACUGCUUCCUACUUAGAUCUCCACUUCUCUCUCUUCUGGUAGGCUUAGAUCCUCUCUUUCAAACAAUAUAAACUUUGAAAGAUUUUAUAACAUAACACGUCAGCUGUCAGUCACUACGUGGACCAAGACUUUUCCUCUCUCUCUCUCUCCCUUCUCUCUCUCUCUCUCUCGUUGUAAAUAGAACGAGGGGAGGAGAGGAGACGAGAGGAGGUUAUUUAUUGCCCGGAUCCUGAGGCUCGGUCCAGGUCCGUGAGAGAUACGCCAGAGAUUGAGAGAUUUGAGAGAGAGAGAGAGAGAGGAGGGGGUGAAAGAAAUCCGGUGGCGCUGCAUUCAUUCAGAAUAUCGGAAGCAAAUCCGCCGCCGGCCCCCUCCGCCGUCCGAUCGAGAUUCGGAUCCCAACCCACGGCCAGAUUUCGUGCAUCGAAUCGCCUCCGCUCACCGAAUCUUCGAAGGCGCGCUCGGAUUCGGAGAUCCCCUCCCCGCUUCUUGUAUAAGUAGUAAGACGGUGGGGUGGUGCAGACUGGACGGAGAGAGCGAGCGGCGUUUCGAAUUUUAUUAUAAUAUUACUAUUCUAGAGAGAGAGAGAGAGAGAAGGAGGAGGAGAGGGGAUGGCGAUGGAAAGAGGGUGUAAGAGCACAGGCGGAGAGCCGCACGUUCUCGCCGUCGAUGAUAGCUCCGUCGACCGUGCCGUCAUUGCCAAUGUUCUCCGAAGUUCUAAAUACCGAGGUUCUUUUCUUUUAUUUCUUUAAUUUUUUUUAAACAUAGAAGAAUAUUUUUUUUGAAUAUUUUUUUUCUUUCAUUUUUGCAGUGACGGCUGUGGAUAGCGGGAAGAGAGCUCUGGAGCUCCUGGGCUUGGUAUUUAAAUCUUUUUGAGCUAUAUGUAUCAAAUAAAUUAUUCGUUAGGAUUAAUAUAUGGAUAUAAUAUUUGGGUUCAUCAAAUAAAUAAAUAUUUUCAUUUUUGGCGCAGGAGCGGGAUGUGAAUAUGAUAAUCACGGACUACUGGAUGCCGGAGAUGACAGGGUACGAGCUUCUGAAGAGAGUCAAGGUAAAAUAGAAAAAAAAUUAAAUUUUGGCAAUAAUUAAAUAUCUGGUCUUGGAAACUUCGGUAUCUACAAUUUUGCCAUCAAUCCAGGAAUCGUCUGAGCUUAAGCAGAUCCCGGUCGUUAUUAUGUCCUCGGAGAACGUUCCAAAUCGGAUUAGCAGGUGCGUGUUGCAAUUUUCGAGAACCAUCAGGGGCAUGGUUGUCAAUCUAAUUGUAGAUAAAUUAUUUGUGAAAAUAUUUAUAAUUGAUUUUUUUUUAAUUAAAUAUUUUGGUGGUAGGUGUUUGGAAGAGGGAGCAGAGGAUUUUUUGCUGAAGCCCAUCCAGCCGUCGGAUGUGUCGCGCCUGUGCAGCAGGUUCUUGCGAUGAGGACCAUUGGAUCUGUGAUCUCCUCCAAUGGAUAGACCCCAUUGAGGGUAGGAUUGUCUUCUUUGUAUGGUGAAAUGAUCAAUUAAAUCAAAGGCCGCCGUUGUAAUAGACCGUUGAAAUAUGAACAUUUUAAGCGUGGUAUGCUCAUAGCACGAAAUUUUGGACACUAUAGUGGGAAUGAAUAUAUUAUUGGUGAGAGUGCUUACAAGAAUAUAAAAAACCUUCUCCUUUGGCCAUUCAUAAAUGUUCUGAUUUUGGAUUCACCCUAGUGCAACCAAAUCAAGUCCAUCCUUGUAUGUCGAUCUAAUCGGGCCACCAUUGCAAGUGUUCUUUUGCAUCGAUUUAGUUCAUGUCAUGUUAUCGUGGAUCCAAACUAGAGUUUCUUAGGAAGCCAUGGAUUCGACGCUUAUCGUAAUUAAGCAUGUGAUUGCAUUUUGAGAAAAUGAAUUCUAAAAUGCCGAUUCUCGAGUUAUCCUAUCGUUGCUCAAACGAAUAGGGCAAUAUGUUCCUUUCUUGAUCUUCCAUAAUAAUUUUGUAACUUAUUUAUAUUCUAGAGCAGUGAGGAUUGGAAUUUCUUUGUGAUCGAAUCCGAUGUGCAAAUAAAUGGAAUUCAUUAGAUUUUCGAGAAACUUAAAAGCCAAAAUUAGUGUGCAAUUGUUUGAAAGUUUCCUACAUGUGCUUCAAGUUUUGACAUACAAGGCGUUGAAAUGUGGUAGGAUGAAGACCUCUUCCUAUGUCUGCAUGCUAGAACUAAUUAUGGCAGGAGGUGGCCUUUUUCCAAGGGUAGAUUUCUCGUGCUUCGGUCCUCCUUUACGAUGUGUGGCUUCCUUCUAUUGAAACAUAGCAAUCGGAUCUCGUUAUGUUUGGCUUUAUGGAUUCAGGGGACCACAAGUAGAGACACUAUGGACUCAAAGUCGAUUCAUGUGGAUUUAUAUUGCCACUCUGUUUUGACUAGUCCACUCUCUUGACUAAAUUGCUGGUGCAAGUUUAUUAGCUAAGCAAUGGGUCUAUGAAUUGCUAUCAAAGUAGCAGUCUGAAAUUAAUAAGGAUUUUUUGCAUGAAUACCCUUCUAAAUAUCGGAUUUUGCAUGAAUACCCUUUCAAAAUUGAUAUUUGCAUGUAUACCCUCGUAAAACUCUGUUAUUGUAUAAAUGCCCCUAAUAUAACGGUUGUUCUAACGGUGUUAAGAAAAAUUAUAUUUAUAUUAAUUAAAAAUAAAAUAAAAUUUUAAAAUUACGCUAUUGUUCCUGUCUUUUUUUUUUUGCUAUUGGGAUUGCGAUCAUGAUUGCUUGUAUACCCUUAUAAAUGUUUCUAUUUACACGUCUACCCAUUAUGGAUAUUUUAAUUAUUUUAAUUUGAUACCGUUAAUUUUUUAACGACAUUAGAUUGCAUGGGUACAUAUACAAAAACAAAAAUAAAAAAAGAAUAGAAUAGCAAAAUAGUAUUUUAAGAGGGUAUACAUGCAAAUAUCAAUUUUAGAAGGGUAUUUAUACAAAAUUUGAUAUUUAGGAGGGUAUUCAUACUAAAAAUUCAAUUAAUAAUAAUGUUUCUCUUCAAGUUAGAAGGAAGUGAAUUAUCAUAAUUGGAAAAUAACAUCACUAGGAAUUUAAUCUUGGAAAACAACCAUGACAAGGUAGCUAGUUGGUCCUAUAAGGGCAAAACAAAUCUGACAUAGCACAUGCAAAAGUUGAUUUUGCUUGUAGUUAAGGGUGCAUUCCAUAACCUUUCACAUGUCAUGCAUUGGACAUGCAUAAUUUAUUACUAUUACAUGUCACACAAUAUCUCACCUGAGAUAUUUCCUAAUCUAGGGAUGGUAAUUGGGUCGAGUUGGACCCGAUAAGAAUUGGAUCGGAUCCGUGAUAGGUCAAAAAGUUGUCAAGGCGAACAUGACAUGUUUAUUAAACAGGCCAAAAAUUCAGAUCUGAACUUGACUAUUAUAGUAAACAUGUAAUCCAAGCCGACCUACAACAAGUUUGGUUAAACAAGUUAAGUAUUGUCAUUCUUACCCUAAUCCGAUCAUGGGUUUGGGCUUGUCCUUUCGAAUUUAGACAAGUUGCAGGAAAUCUAAUAAAGCUAUUUGUCUUCUUAGGGAAAAUUGGGACCUAAAACCACAAACAAAAAAAAAAAAAGCCAACUCUUUCAUCUUGUCAUUUUAGAGUUGAAGCAUGUUCAAAGAAAUGUGAAAAACAUCGUUUCCUCACAUGAAACUACUUAGGCAUGAUAGAUACUGAUCAAAUCAUUUAUACCUAUCUUAUGAUACUCAGAGAGUUAUACUUCAAAAAUCUAUUUGCUUCUUAUGUGCCUUCUACAUACCAGCGAAGAAACAAUGCAACCAACUAUUUCCUUCUCGAAAGUUAGGUUUGAAUUGUUAGAACUGAACUUUGUUUUGUUAUCUAAUGAUAACAACUAACUUUCCUUCUAAAAGGUAAGCCUAUGUUGCACGGGGAUAGCUAAUUAUCUCAUAUUAUUUAAUACAAGAUAAAAAUGACCUAGCCUAUUGUUUCUUAUUUGCCGUAGAGUUUCGCUAGGACUAGACUAGAACCACUACAUUUUUUGUCAAAUUUGAGAGUAGAGCUGAUCAUGGGUCAAGCUUGGCCGCAAAAAAUGUUAAAUUUUAAAUAGGCCCAGUUCUGAAAUCCGACUAAAAAUGAAUAUAGUUUAGGCCUGAGGCCCAGCUAAUGAUCAAUUCUACUUGAGAGAUAGCAUGGAUUAUUUUAAUCUUGUUAUUAGCUAAUAGCAUCUUUCUUGCUUCCACCAAAAAAAAAAAAAAAAAAGAAGCAGGCUAGGAGCAAGUUUAGCUAAAAAGACCUAAUUCUGAAGACAUGUUGCUUUAAGUAGUAAGAAGUGAAUCAUGCACAAGAGAGAGGAGAUGACGAUUCCAUGAUUUGCUAUUUAAAUUUUGAAAAACAAGUUAAAUACUUACGUACCUCCAGAAGAGGAACUACAUGGAGUAAGUUGCCACAAAAAUUAUAUAUGUUUAAUACAAACAAAUUGAAAAAUGAAGAGGAGUAGCUAUUCAGUUUUAAUUGUACUAUCACCCUACAAUUUAUGUCCUACAAUCUCUUUGUUUAACUCAUAUACUCAUUCAAAAGGCUUAGAAAAUAAUUUACAAAAAACACCAAAAGACACCCAUGCAUUCAAAAAAAGGGAAAUCUCUAGUCUUAUGGGGUUCAUAAGGCUGGUCCUUCUUUGUUGGAGGUAUUGGUGAUCCUUAUAGCAUGAACCAUGAAACCGUCAUGGGUCAUGAGCUUCAUUAUUUGCAAUCAAGAUAUAUUUGUAAUCCUAUAUCGCACAACUAAAGAUGACCUUUUCGGUUUGUAUUUUUGAUGCAUUAUGUCUCAUGUGUGAUUUGCUUGCUUUGAAAUUUAAGAAUUAUAUCUUUAUAUGCUAGCUUUGCGGAUUUAUUGAACUAGCAAUCAAAAUAGUUCUUCCCACAAAAUCCUCUAUAAAAAUAUAUUGCUUCUUUAUAUUUUCGAUAAUCCAUGAAUUUAACUUGCUAAUAUGAAUUAGAUAGUAAUCAAUUGAUAGUAACAAGCCUUCAAAUAUCUAUUAUCAUAAUGGAAGAAGCUAUUUUACCCAAAUAUAUUUUUUGCAUCUAAUUUAGAUGUUUUGCUUUUCAGAAAGUCAAUAAUAGGUGUUGUUUGAAGAAUUUGGAGGGAGAGAAAGCAAUGUAGCAAGCUCAAUCUACCCAAGUAGCUAGGAAAAGAGAAAGGAUUAUGAGCUAUAUUUGUGCUCUCCAAAAAUUAUCCUCAAGCAAUCAUGAGGAAUGAUAACCAUCCUUGCUUUUUCCCACGUGCAUUAUAUACACUUGACACUAGUUUAAAGUAGUAAGGAAUUUGCCUUAAAAGAUUUUAAAGAAGUGGUUUAUCAAAAUAAUGAAGUAGCAUGACUAAAAACUAUUGUUGCAAGCUAGCCAAGGUUAGGGUUGUAACUCGAUCAUGACAUGUACCUAAAUUGAUUUAUUUGCAAGGCUUUGAGUCUUGGCUUGUUAAGUUUAUUAUAUUAGAUACUGUGUUGAAUAUGUUAUAUGAAGUAAAAUGCUAUUGUAUGAUGCACUUACAUAAGUUUGUUGUAUGCCAGUGAAAUUUGAUAUGACAUGCACCUAAGUUAACUUGGUGGAUACAUGCUUAUGCAUACAUCUUUUUGAAUAUUUAGAUUAGGACAAACUUCAAAGAAUCUAUUCAACUCCUUUGUUUUUGUAGAGCUAAAUAAAAUCAAAAUAAUUUUCGCUAACUAUUAUUGGCAUCGAAGCAUACAAAAAAAAUUCAGCAAGUCCUUUCUUCCAUAUGUUUUAAGAGUACAUAGGACUAAUAGAAACCAACCAAAUAUUUUAACUUGUCCAAUUAUCAUACUCAAGUCUUUUCUUAUGAAAUAGAAGUGAAAGUGGAUGGAAUAAUAUCUAUUUAGAUCUGUUUUUGUAUCCGAAUCUAUAUAAAUAUAUAUCAAAAUUUGAGUAUCCGACUAAUAUUUCUAUUCGUAUCCAUAUCCGAAAAAAAUAGAUAUGGAUAUAGAUAGACAACUAUUCGAUCUGUAUCCAAAUAUUCGAUUUUAUUUGUAACCUUAUUUAAAUUUAUAUAGAACUCAUAAAAUUUUAAGAAAAAUAAAUGAUUACAUUAACAUGCUAUUACUUGAUUCAUCAUCUACAUAGUAAUAUCUUUUAUUUUAUAGUCAUAAAAUUUAAUAUUCGAUUUAUAUCUAUAUUUAUAUCCAUACUUUCGGGAUCUGAUUUGUAUCUGUAUCUAUUUAGCAUAAAAAUAGAUAUAAAUUUUUGCAAUCGAUUAACAUCCAUAUCCAUAUAUGUAUUGAUCAAACAAAAUAAAUAUGGAUAUAGAUAUGCUAGUAUCCGAUCCAUAUCUGAUCCGAUUUCAGUCCUAUUAUGAAAUCUAUCCAAUUUCUUUAUUCUUACCUUCUUACAUUUAAAUUGGGAUGAUUUUGGCCGACUCUUUUCUUAAGGUUAGGUUUGAAUCGUCACAACUAACUUUAUUUUUUCUUUAUCUUCUUAUCAAUGAGACUGAAUUGAAGUACCACGACUACUAAUAAGGUUACUUAUUUAAUAAAAUAAUUAGGUUUGGAUCUAGAUAUUUUUGACCCAUUUAAUAAAUAGUCAGGUUUGGCUUGAUAGAUUUUUGGCCUAUCCUCUAUCCAACCAACCCGAUUGCCAACCCUAUUUAUAGCUACAAUUUUAAAGAAAAGAUAAAGAUAUGUUUGAGAACAUCGUAAAUGAGAGUCUAGUGAUACAAACAAUCAAUACCUAAAUAUAGUUAAAUGAGAGUGAGGGAGAAGUUGUUAGAUGCUAGGUUCAAUGGAGGAUUAAUUUAAUUGAGAAUUCAUUCAAUAGAUUCAGAAAGCUGUUUCGGAAGAAGGAAAAGAGUAGGUUUUAUAUGAUUUAGAUUUUCAAAUCGGGUGGAAUCUAGUCCAAGUUGACUCAUGUAUAUUUUUCAGUAACCUAAAUAGAUCUGGAUAAUAUCCAGUCAUUUUGGGUCCAAAAUUAUAAAACCCAACCCUGCCUACUUUUCACAAGGACUUGACCCAUAGUUUUUCUAAAAAUGGAUUAGACUGGGUUGGAUUUGCAGCCUUAAACUCUUCUUCCAUUAGCGGUUGUAAAAACACACAAAUUCUUGAUCAGUCAGAAUGUUUAUCACAAAAGAUAGAGCCUUCUCUUUUCAAAAAGUCCUACUUAUCACAUUCCUUGAGUUAUCAAAAAACCCAGGUGGUGUUUGGUGAUCAUAAUGGGAUCACCAAGAUGAUCUUAGAUCAUUAGAGAUUCUUAUCUUGGAAUAAUCUGAUUUCUGAUGAUUUAAGAUUACCAUGUAUUAUGUUCUAAUGAUUAAAGAUCCUUGGGUAUCUACAAGUAACUUAUUUUGGUAUUUCAUGGAAAUCCAAGAUCACCAAUCACUAGUGAUUCUUAUCCCAAGAUAAUAUGAUCCCCGAUAUCUAAGAUCACCACGUGCUAUGUUCCGGUGAUUAAAGAUCCUGAAUAUCUACGAGUAAUCUAUUUGGUAUUUUAUGAAAACCAAGAUCACUGACCAUACAAUACCAAAACUACUUCUGAUAUAUUUCAUAAUAUUAAUAAUAUAACUCAUUAAUCCUAUAAAAAUAUUUUAAUUAUUAUUGCAGAAUCAAUAUUAUGAUUUUAAUUAUAUCAUAUUAUUAUUUUAAUAUUUAUAUUUAUUUUGAUUAAAAAAAUAAGGCAAAUAGAAGUAAUAUAUUAAAUAAUCUCAUGAUAUAAAUAUAAAGUACAAUAAUAUAUUUAUAUUAUGAUUUAAAAUUAUAAUUAAAUAAUAAUAAUAUGAUUAAUAAUAUAUUAUAGUAUAAUAUAUAUCAUAAAUACAAUGUGUGCAAUAUCAAUAUAAUAUAAUAUAUAAUAUUGCUAUUAUACAUUUGGUAUAUUGAUAUAUCAAUUUUGGGGAUUGCUAUGGUACUCAUUUAUAUUAUUUUAUAAAAAAAUACAAGAUAUCUUGACCGUUAGAUAUGUGAGGGUAUGUAUGAAAUUUUAUUCCUAAUAGGUUACUUAGCAGAUUAACUAUAGGUUACUAGCCUCUUUUAGUUAUUAUUAUUUUUUUUGAAAAAAUAUUUUAUUAAUUUAUGCGCUGACUUGGUUGAACCAAGAUAGAUCUAACUCUGUCGGCUCACCAACAUAUGCUCACACCCCAAUCCCUGCUUUUCAUCCACAUUGGCUCCUUCGCCCAGAAGCAUGGAUAGAUCAACACCAACCCUUUGAUCCUCAUCCCAUCACCCAGCUCCUCCUUCCUGGCACACACUGCCAUGUUAUGGGCAACAUUGGCCCUGAUGCAAUUGCUGACCAAGAAGACAUAGUCGAAGUCGCCGUGCUCGGAGAGCCCUAGCUCUCCGACUGCUAGGUGUCGUUGUAGGCAGUGGGGAGUAAGUGCUCCGGCACGUGGCAAAACUCGAUGGAGACAAGAGGAGGAGGACUUGAGCCAUGAAGGCAUCGAGGAAUAAGGAGAAGUCAAUUAGGAUUUCGAUAUUGGGAUCCAUUGGAGGAGGUGGAGAGGAGGGAGGAGAGAGGUGGGUGAAGGUGCAAAUAGGAGGCAGAAGGAGCUUUCAAAAGCUCCUAUACUUUGAAAUAUUCAUAGCAUUAACUAUCAUUUUUGAUUCUAAAAUACCAUUGAAGUUUGAAAUAUUUAUCAUACAUACUAGCCAAGCACAUAACCAACUAUAAUCGGUUAUCGGUGGGUAAAUCAACACCAUCCAUGUUGAAUAGGACAACAAGAGAAAAUUCUAAAGCUUGGCAUGCCAUAACGAAAGUUAUCAAUUUUUUUUGUUCGAUUGAGAAGUAUUUUUGUUCUCAAAUUUCAGCCUAAGUUUACCAUCUUAAGGUAAUCUUACAUAGCCUAUCUCAAGGAUGAAUUUCAUCAUUAAAUUUGGCAGUGACUCAAGGAAUAAGAAUUAUUUGGAAUCAUUUUUAUAUAGAAUUACUAUAGUACAGAUAGACGAGGUGAUCUCGCCAUGUACGCCAGUAUCAGCUUUGAUAUACGGAUGAUUCCAAACGCUUCCCUAGAGAAACUCUCACCUCAUCCAGCUUUGAUAUACGGAUGAUUCCAAACGCUUCCCUAGAGUUUCUACCAAUGCAUCCCUGAAACCGCCAACUUCGACGGAUCUUUUACAAAGUUGGACCAAGUUUUCGUUCGCUCAGCCCGACAAUGGCCUUCUCCUGCGCCACCUUCAGAGCCUAUGAUCCCUCCUUCCUCCCCCCAAACCCCGCCGCCCCCUCGAUCGACUCCGCCGCUCUCGCCCGAAACUCUCUCUUGUCGAUCGAAGUCAGAGGUUUCAACUCGCAUUCCAAUCCCAAAUCCAGAUUCGCUUCGUCCUCCCAUGAGACCCUUUUCCCAGUAUUUUCUACCGAAAACACCUGUAGGCGCUUUGCUAAGAAUGACAAAUGGAGCCGCCACGCGGAACUCGAUCGUGUGAAUGGAGCCGGCGACGGCAGCGGCGGUAAUGGUGACGGCGGUGGAGAUGAUGGCGAACAUGAUACGGAGGAGGCUGAGUUCGGGCCGUUGUCGAAAUUUGAGGAGGUGAUCCGAGAGUUGGAGGCUCGUGAGGCGACCCUGCCUUCUUCGUCUCUGACAUGCUGGAGGUGGCGAAAGCUAUGGGGAUCCGAAGAGAUUUUCUCUUUAGAUACCUGGACCUACAGGUAUUCCUUCUCAAAUUGUGUGCAAAAUCUUAACUUCUCCAAAAAGUUCACACCUUUUUGUGUUUUUCACUUUAGAAGGCGGCGCCUUGGCCACUGGGUGCUUUGAUGAGGUGCUGCGCGAUGUUCCGGGAUCGGAUGCUUGCUGACCCGUCAUUUCUUUUUAAAGUUGGAACUGAGGUCUGUUGAUUUUUGUUGCUUUAGAUGUUCUUGGGAUUGCAUUUGAGGAAUUUUUCCAUAUUUCAACGGAGUUAUGGAGCAAUGCAGAUCGUUAUUGAUUCUUGUUGUGCAACAUUUGCGGAAAUUCAAAAGAGGGGGGAGGAUUUUUGGGCAGAAUUCGAGUUUAUGCUGCAGACCUUUUGGUUGGGAUGGUUGUAGAUAUUGCUCUAGUGGGUUUAUUAGCAACAUAUGCGCGUAUUGGGCGGCCAUCGGCAUCGACCGGCUUUUUCGGAAGCUUGACACGUGCUUGUGAAGCUCUACCUAGCAGGUGAUCAACUUAAAAUGAUGUUAGUUUGAGUCCCUAAGUAAAGUUUGAGCACCAUCUCUAAUUUGAUUCUCUUGGAGAAACCAGAGGUUUGUGGUUUUGCUAUAUUUGCUUGAACGAAUUCUUUCGGCUAUCUAAUAUAUUGGUGAUUUUGUUGUAAUUCAAUUUGCCAUUGCUGUUUGAGUAGAUGGUAUCAGUACCUGUGAUGGACUCACUAACCAUUUUCUGUAUCUGAAUGUAAAUUAUUUCUUAAUGAUUAAAUUAUUGAUAUGUGGACCAAUUAUUGGUUAGGUGUUUACAAAUUUCACAGAGAACAUUCUGCAUAGGACUAAUUAUAUGUAAUGUAAUAACUAAUAGAAAAACAUUUAUUAGCAAUGUAUUUAACGGUUAACAUUAGGAUUUUUCCAGCAGUUCAAACAAGAGGUCUUUCUGUGAUAAUUGGUACUUCGGUCAUUCAAAUUUAAUCAUCCAUCAAAUUUCUAUCUUGAUUUAUGUUUCUAUAGUUUGCCCUGUACUGUAUGAUACAGUCUGGUCAAAUCAUAAAUUUCAUGAACCUUAGCUUUAAACCAAUUGCAUACAUGCUCACAUAUUCCUGUGCAUAUUACAUAUAGUUAGGAACCAUGAUUUGCAUACCAAGCUGCUUUUUUAAGACCUUAAACCAUGUAGUUAGGAACCAUCUUUUUGGGCACUAACAAAGUGGGUUAUAGUAAAGUAAAAGGACAUUAAUAGGCAGCAAUUGAUGAAUGAUCAACAAACCAAUGUGUAUCUUCUAGUCCUUAUAAUAAAACCUCCAUUCAUGUCCUCCACUUGUCCCUGGUAGAAUAAGAAAUAACAUAAUGGAAUAAUCUAACAUUUAGUUAAGCAGGUUGUGUAUAGCUAACAUGAGAAGUUUGUGUAUGGAUAGGUCAGAAGACAAAAAGAUGUUCCCACUACCACCAACCGUGAUAGAUGAUCCAAUUGCUAAAGUCAUUGAUGUGACUGAAUGAGAAUUACUAUGAGAAAAAAAAAUGAUGUCCACUUCUUAUCUGAUGAUCCAUUUGACUCAAGAACCUAAUGGAUUGACCUGUGGGAAAUGAAGCAUUUAUUAUCUGAAUGAGCAAGAGAAUUUGAUGUUGAUGGAGAAUUAGAUGUCUUGCAAACAUCGAGUGAAAAGGCAUUUUUAUCUUUGGGGAUAAUGAUCAUUAGAAAUUGAAGCUAAAGCUUAUAGUGCUUGUUGUUAAUCUUUAUAAGAUGCUUGGUGAGCCUAAGUUGGCCUCCCAUGGAGAUCUCAUGAUAUUUCCAUCUUAUGGUUAAGUAAAUCACCAUGAUUCACCUUUGAAUGCCACAUACUCUAGCUUCUUUCUACUUGGCCUUCAUCUUUUCAAGGUUUCUGUUUCACUCCUAGCAUAAAGGAAAAUCUUCCAUUCAAAUUUGGAUGAUAUUUUUUCAUAUUAAUUUCUAAGUUGGGCUCUCAUGCUGCUGAAUGAAACACUGAAUAAUAAAUAUUUCACUAUUGCAAGCAAAUAUCUGCUGGGUUCAGUGUAAAUUUAAUAUAUUGUCUAUCCUUGAUAAAUUAACUUUUCUUCGGUCUAUGUUUAUGGGGUUUGUUUCCUGAAAUAAAGCCCUAUAGGUGCUUUUUUUUUCUUUUCAGUUUUCUACUUUUCCCUAGGUGAUUGAAUGCUAUAGAUGUUACAUGCUUAUUGCUUCAAAAGGCCGCUGCAGUAUGUGGGUGGUUAGGCGACCGCAUAGCACAUAUGCCAUAUGCGGGCCAGCUGCAUAUGUAUUUAAUAUUAUUUACCUAUUUAAAUAUCAAAUAAUUUAUUAAGUAAAAUCUAGACAAAAAUGUUAGUAACUAUAAAUAUUUAAUAUUUUUUCAAUAAAUAAUAUAAUGUUAGCAACUAUAACGACUAAAGUGACUGUUACUAAGUACCUAAUAGCAAUAGUUAUAACAUAAUUAACAUGUUAAUAUUAUUAAACCUAUAUCCAUUCUACCCAAAAACAUUUUUGACCUAAGUAUGAGCUUGAAUCUGCUCCAUCCGCACAGAGCCAACAUAAUAGUAGGCCACAUAUAUGGCCCAUAGCACAUAAUGCGAAGCAGGCCAUAUAUGCAGUAGAACAAUGUGAAGUGGGCUGCAUAUGCGGCCAUAUAAUGCCAAGUGGACUGCCUUUUCAAUUAAUAUGCAGUCUGAUUGAAUAUAGUAAAUGAACGGUACCCUUAAUCGUAAAAUAUUUAUUUUUUCCAUUGUUUGCAUGCUAUACGUAUGGGAUUUGAAACUUCAACAUUUAUCUCAAAUUCAGCUGUUUCACCGUUCCUUUUGAGCUGUUUAUGUUCAUCAUUGAAAUUUUGUAUUAUGUCCAGGACUGUAAAAAAAUCAGAAGAAGAUUUACCUGUUCCUCCACUUGUGCAAAGUGCAGCUCUUUGGGGUAUGCCUAGAACUAUUGGGAAUAACUAACUCGUUCUUUUUCUUUUGAAUUUUUAUGUCAUUAUUUGACCAUAAGCAUUGGAGUUGUCUUGUAUAUUUUGCUCUUACUGUGUUUGAAUCAUUUUUGGCAGGUUUUUGUUAAUGUAUUGCAAAACUAAACAAAAAGUAGAAACUUUAAGUGGGAAUUCAACAUGAAUAGAAUGUUGUCAUCAGGUUGAGCUAAUCAUAAAACAUUCCCAAACUUAAUUAGCUCAUACUUUGAUCCAUAGUUUGAUUUGAUGUAGAUGGAAUAAAUCAGGUUUGGUAACAUUUUGAUUGCAUAGGAGAUAGGACUUUUGGUAUCAUUAUCAUCUUGUGAAAAACAAUGGUGUCAACUCCAUUUGAUCUCUUCCUGUUGUAUAACCUUCUGUUUGAUCCAGCCAUUUAGGCUCCUCUAUUGCUGUUUCUCUUCCUUCCCAUAUUAAUUUACUGUAGCAUGCUCCUCCUUUUCUUCUCAGUGUUGCCAUGAUCCUCUAAUCCUCUCUCUCCUUAACUCUUGGCUUCUCUGCCCAUUUCUGACUUGCUAGGAACUACGAGUCAUCAUGGGGAUCAACCAUCACAGUCAUCUUUGGAUGCUUGAGUUGCCUAGUCCUUUCAAAGGCUUCUCCAAAGGCCUAACUUUAUUAUUGCAAGGGCUUUCUUUCCUCAUGCGAGGGACGCUCCUCACUUAGGUACCAAAAUUUAUAGAGCACUUCAUCUCUAUGUGAAGAUGAAAGCAUGGAUUCAAGUACCGAGCAUGCCAAUCAAUAAUGACCAUGCCAUACUACAAUAGGUCACGGGCAUAUUACGCCUUGUCCUUGUGCUCUGAACAGGUGCAUGCCAAUUUGUAUUGGUCUGUUUUGGGCCAUAUUGAUUUGGUAUGGUUGCCAAAAUGCAGUAUAAUAGGCUGUGAGACACGGGGNNNNNNNNNNNNNNNNNNNNGGGCGUGCGGCGUCUGCCGCGCCUCGGGCUCGGGGCGUGACAUAGGCACAAGUCUAUAGAGCCUUUUCUUCUUGCCCCUUUUUUGGUAUUUUCAUUUGGUUUGAUUUGCGUGGUUUCCUUGGAGCAUGAUGAGGGGUCUCCAUUAGCCGUCGGUUUGGGAUUUUGCUGAAAUUAUUUUUCUUUGUGCGUUCUACUCAAGCUCAUGAUUUUGAUUUCCCAAUGCAUGUGCUAAAAGCAUUUCUUUUUGAAGUAGCAUGCUUAUCAUGCUUUUUUUGUGAUACAUUCAUUAAUAGUCGAGCAUGACUUGUCCAUUUAUCACAUUUCUACUGACUCAUUAUAUAAUGUGCUUUAUCAAUGCCUUCUUUAUAUUCUAGUUAUCCUAAAUCUUACUCUUUGUUCUAAUUCAUUAGUAUGAUGUAAUAUUGUGCUAUAUUACCUUAAAUAAUAAAUUGCCUACUAAUCAACAGACAUUCAUGUCAUGAUUUUUAACUGCAGGGUACUAUUUGUUGCUUUUUAUCUUUUUUCUUUUUUGCAAAGUAACAUGUAAAACCUUAGAAGGAAGUUUAAAAUAAUUCAAGUUGACAAAAAAACCUAAAUAUGCAUAUAUCGAGGCGCCUAUGCUAAAUACUAUUAAUUAGUAUUUAACUAGUAUUGUUUAUUGGUAUUCCAUUAGAUUAACUAUUAUUAAAAUAUAUUCAUAUAUUAAUAAACCAGUAUAUGCUCUAAGUAUAUUAUCUAUUUAUAUAAAUACUUAAUAGAUUUUUCUCAUGUUCUAUUUAUACAAUUUUAAUAUUUAGAUGUUGAAUUUUAGGAAUUAGUUAUGAGUUAGUUGCUAUUUUUAUCUUUUCAUAUAGCAUUUUUAAUUUUAUUAAAUAUAAAAAUUGUAGAGAUGGACUACAAAGAAAUUGAGAUAAAGUUUCUUUGUGUAAGACAUCCAAUAUCUGCACCAUUCAAAAUAAAAUGUAAAUAAAUAAAAAAAGUAAUAUAAGUCAAGUUUUGCUAGAUGAAUCUAUAACAAGACUAUGCCACCUGGCAAAAUUUUAAACUAAUCAGUUUGAACUGAUUUAAAUCAGCUCUUGUUUCGCCUGGGAAAUUUUGGAUGAAUUAACAAUUACAAUUAAAAUUGAAUAACCUACAACAUUUUACAUUCAUAUUCCAUGAUAAUAAUUAAUUGGUGUAUAUUUAUGUUUCUGCAUCAUGAAUAUGAUAGUUGCUAGGCAUGUUUGAUUACAUCAAGCAGUUCUUAGUAAUUUAGCAGUUAUAAUUUUAUUGGAAUUUUAGCUCUGGUUAAUGGAUCAUCUGAGAGGCUUUUAGUUACGAUUCGGUGAUAGCAUGCAUGGAGGCUGCUUGGUUACAUAUCUAAAUCUAUUAUAUGGUCUCUCUAGCCAAAAUGAAGUGAUCAAUUCUGUAUGCAUGGAAAAAAGAGCACUGGAAUGAUCUCAACUGAAUAUGCAUACAAUCAAAAUAAAAAGGAAGGAAAACAUUACAUUGAGAGAGUCAUAAAUUUGAUUGAGUUUCCAUUACUUCACCCAAUAACCCUAAUUCAGUUAUUUCAACUGCAUCAAAUGUGCUUAUUGCAUGCCCAUGUGUGCCAAGGACUGGCAAAGCAUGGCAUGAGGCACUCACGUGCUUGUGUAUGACGGACACAACAUCGGCACAUGACGCCUAAGGUGGUUUCAUCGUUUUAAAUAGGGCAGAUGUUAAUUAAUUAGAGUUCCUGAGUCCUUCGAGUCUGGCUUUUGUCUUUUUCUAGCGACCAUGGGUGAAGGUUGAUGUGCAAGAGUUGGAUCAUUGGUAGAUCGAAGAAAAAGAAUAUGCUUUUUGACAUUCACAGUUGGAGUUCCAAGCUUGAUGACUAUCUUCAUAGUGAAAUAUCUAAACACAAAAUUUGUAAUUAAAUUCUUUGUUUUUUAAGUAUCAGCCUGUUGGUACGUAAAUCACUUUAAUGUAAGUCUUGGGAACAGGAUAUUGCAAACAAAGCAAUUGGAAAGGUGAGUAUAGGAUGUCAAAAGGGAGGCCUGUUGACCUAAGCUCUGCAGUUUGCAGCAUGACAGAGCUGUAAAAAGUGGGAAAAGCAGAUAAAGUAAUACAUUAAAGAAAGAUUUAGGAAGCUAGGGUUGCUUGUGAUUAAUGGACUAGAGUUUUGAUUGUCUUAGAAGGUGAUAGUGUAUUAAAUCUAGAGUUACUAGGGGUUAUGCUGCAGUUUUGUCUCAACUCUCAAAGGCUUGAGCUGGUACUGAAAGAGAGCUUAGAGAUUAUGCAUGAUAAAAGCUUAGAGAGCUUUCCUCCAGGAAUCUCACCCUUUGCUGCCUUGGAGGAAAGAGAGAGAGAAGUUCAAGAGAGAAGAAGUUCGCAACGGACGUGUGAGUUGAUUCCUAGGACUUGGAGCUCUAUAUGGCUUUUUUUAGCUCUCUGGAAUGAGAUGGAUUAUUGGCAACGGUAGAAAAGGAUAAAUUUCUGGGACUUUCGGGUCCAAACCUAGCGUUGUUGGUCUCUUCUUCCCUGCGUGGUGAUCAAUGCUACCAUGUAUUCAUCCAUGGUUGGAGGAAGAGACGUGUAGGACUAGAGUUUGGGUAAUAUUGCGAAAGCAAAGCCAUAAUUUGGUAAAGGAUUAUAAACGGAUAUGAUCUUGCAUAUGAUUUGGACUGGGAAAAGGAUUGGUUAAAGUGGGAACAGCUUCUAGAAUCAAGAGUAGCGCCUUUUCCGGUCUUGACUUGUUUCUUGAAGGGCUGGUCAAGCAGGAGCUGAGCUUCUUGCAAGCUUGCCUAGAGAUCAUCUUUGGGCUUGUACGCUACUAAGUUCUGAGAAUGAUUACACUUAUGAGAAUAUAUAUCGUAUUGGAACUCCUGAUUUUUUUAUGCUUUACGGCAAGCUUUUUAAAGAGGAAACGGCUUCUAGAAUCAGCUCUCCUCUUUCUGUUAGGAUCCAAACUAGGUGUUCUUUUCCGACCCUUUCUACAACUCUUCUAUAAAAUCUCCUGCAGUCUGGACCCACACAUUCAUCUCGAACUUCUUCUCUCUCUUUCCUCCAAGGCAGCAAAAGGUGAUUUCACUUAUGGCUUCCAAGUCUUCUUCGCUCAAGGUUGUGUCCUUUUUUUGGUGCUAUUCUUUUGGACUUCAACUGGUCUCGAGGAGAGGGAAGGGUGCUACAUCAAGGCCAUAUAUAGCUUGUGUGACUCCAUUGCCGACACUAGCAACCUCCUUCGCGAGGGCGUGGGCAGGGCUUUUGCACCCAUCCACACCUUCCAUACGGCGAGACCACUUUUCACAAGCCCACCGCGCGCUGCUCCGACGGCCUCAUUAUUGAUCCUCUCCUAAUGAUGCAGACAUAGAAAGCAAUUACGGCUCCCAUGAUGAAUGCUAUACUGAUCAAAUACAACAUGCUUAGAUAGAGAAUUAGGAUUGAGAAACGGCUUUGAGAAUAUUUUGUCAGCUUUUGGUGGAUUCUCCUAUCCAAGCUAUGGAGUCCAGGAGAAGUGGAAAUGCUGCUACGAGAAUGGCAAGUCACUUUGCUGAGCUAUUGAGUCCAGGAGAAGUGGGAACCGUAGCAUAGGAACUUAGAUUUAGUUGUCAAUUAGUCUGUUCAUAUUUUUAUUUUUAUUUUUUUAAUGAUUUGUUUAGAGUAUUAGUUAUCUAUCUCUCAUGGGAAUAUGUCAUUUUUUGCUUCAUCAAUUAUAUACAAUUGUGCUAAAUUUGAUGGUCAAGAUUUUAUGUCCAAGCAAUUGCAAUAUAGGAAUGGAUGCCUUGUUUAUCAAGAAGACCUGCGAAGAUAAAUGAGUUUUGAAAAUUCGAAACCCAAGAUUCGUAGUUACAAGCUUUGACAAUGUGCUAAUAAUGUCAGAUUUAACAAAUCUUGUAUAUACAGAUAUUAUAUUCUUCUGUUAGGCAAGAGACUUUAUCUUUAUCAGCAAUUCCAAUCCAAUUAUAUCAGCAAAGAAAGAGUAAGAAUCUCUUCAUGAGGAAAAAAUGAAUUGUAUUAGUGUUAAGAAUCAUGUUCCGCUGAAGGUCAAUAUAACCUUUUGUAUAGUUUAUCUGCAAAUGCUCAUUUCAGCUACAGUACAUGUGGCCUUCCUGUUACCCAUUGUUUCUCCUCUUUUAGUAUACUUCUUUGCAGUUGUCACAUAUAUUUGGAAGAAUUUCUGAUCAUUCAUAUUAGUGUUAAGAGCCAUGUACUGCUAAAGGUCAAUAAAAUAACCUUUUGUGUUGUUUAUCAGCAAUGCUCAUUUCAGUUAUGUGUGGCCUUCCUGUUUCCCAUUGUUCCUCCUCUUCUUUUCUCCUAGUUCCUAAUCUUUGAAGUUUGAAUCUCUUUCUUUCUGUGUCUUUUCUUUUCUAAAUCCGUCCAACUUCUACAGGGACCAUGCAUGAUACUGUGUCUGCUAACAGAGCAUCUGAAGCAUUUUAUCUGGCUGGAGGUGUUGACAUUUUGGCAUUGCCAUUUCCUUUACUGAUAUUCAUUGCCUGGCAAGCAAAAUGCAAGUGCAUUACAGAUUAAUUUAACAUAAAAAUCAAUUUAACAGAAAAAUCUCUUUCCCUAGGAAGGGAAGUUGAUUGAAUUCUAAUAUAUGUUAACUUAGGUAAUUAUUUUCUGGGAGGUGCUUUUGCUGUAUGUGAACAUUGGAUAUGAGAAGGAAAUUUUGCUAACCACCGAUCAAGGAACCAAAUAAACCCGUUGGUUGUUCAUUGAUUUGCCUGAUUGCACUAAAGCUGUCAUCAUAAUCAGCAAUUAAUGGGGUAGUCCAUUACUUACCAAUUUAUUUUUACGUAGAAGAUGCAUGAUUUAAGAGUUCAGACUCUUGCUUUAGCUGCAGAGUAACAUUUUAAGGUUAGGUUAAUUCCAACUCAAGAUGGCUUAGCCAGCCGAAGCACCAAUCUUAUUUAUGCUUGGGCAUGCUUAUUCCCUUAGGGGCCCCUUAAUAAAGACACAAAGCAAGCAUUGCUCAAAAAUAUAAAUUGUUUGCUGUAUAUUAUGUAGCAUAUAGUUCUUUAUAUUAAAAAAACUAAGAAUGUGGAAUGAGAUUGCAGCAGAAAUAAGCAUGCACACUUGUAUGAAAAUUGAGGCACUGGCGAAAACAAGUCACUUAGGUUACAACAUGCAUAAAAAUAUACCUAUGUAUUUAUAUUUUCCUUGCAAUUGUUUUAGAGGACUGAAUCUGCUUAGUGGUUGUGUAUUGAAGACUAACAAGAGCAUCACUUGAUCUAGUUUGCGGAUGUUCGUAAUCUUCUACAGAUUUCUUAUCUUCUUCCAUGUUUUGAUUUAUCUUCCAUCCUUCUGCAUAAAUUGGUUCAGCUGAAAGGAAAAGGAAUGACAAAGUAGAGAAAAACCUCCACUAUGAACAAACAUCCAAUCACAUCCAUGGACAGAAAGUUCUUUCUAUCCAACAAACAAGGUUUCGUUCAGAUGUAGGCUUUGACAUCACAUACCCCUGAUGCCAUGAAAUUCAUUUUUGAUUUCACUCUUCAGUAUUACGAGCAAGCUUCAAAACUGGCAACUGUCUGUGAACAUUUAUCUGUUAGCAGAUAUUUUUCAGAAUUAAUACCAUCAGUUAAACUUGUGCCAGAUAAUGCUGGUCUUACAAAGCCCUGCACAGUAGCCGUUGGAAACAUAUAAUGGAACUGAUCUGGUGGGCUGAAAAAUGAAAUAUACUGAAAAGAAACAAAAGGGCGUGAACAAAAUUAUCAUUCAUAAAAUGUCAAACUCUGAUGGUACCUGUUCACCAAGGAGCCUAAAAAAUUAUCUAUAUAUUAGAAUAUGGUAAUUGUGCACUAAGAACUAAUUUACACUUGAUAUUGCUUUUUUGCAUGUGCUAAUGCAACUCUUAUUUUCCCCUGACGAUCACUUAUUUCAGUGUUGAAGGUGAAGAAAGGAGUCUUGGCACCGGAGAUUAGACUGCUUCUGAAUUAGUGCCUUAUAGGCUUGAUUUUUGCUUAAAUAUCAUGUCUUGUGACUUCUACUACUGAGGGGGAUUGGUGGAGAAGAAGCCAUAAUGAUCACACAGCCUGCAUUUUAGUAGUUAAGAUACCGAUUAACAGGACUGAGAUGAACCAUAAAACCUAGGGUGCCCUAUGAGGGGCCUUAUAUCAUGCUUUUCCCAUGCCAAUGAAACCUAAUUUAAAUGGUGAUUGAGAUGAAGAAUCAUACCAUAUCCAGUUUGAGGAAUUGCUAUGCAGAUCAUCCAGUGCUACCCUUGCUCACUGCAAUUCCUCAGCAGAAUUUGCCAUAUUUAAAGCCUUCACAGAGAACUUCUGAUCAUGUAUUAUGUAACAAAACUGCCUGAAGAUGCUCCUGUUUUAUGGUAAAACGGCAACAUAAUAAAGAGGAACCAUUUACCUUUAUGUCUGAGAGUUGCUAUUCAUUCACCAACUUUGCUUUGAGACUUACGCAGCUGCUGUUGUUGUUUAGGUUGGUCUUGAAGACAGAAAUCCUUCUUGUAAGAGCUCUGAAUCAGUUCAUCAUCACUGAUGGCUUCAACAUGAAGCAUUAGAUUGCAGGUCACCCAGGGAGCCCUCAGCAAUAAAUUUUUCCUAUAAGGGACAGCUUCUCGAGCCAAGGACUCUGCAGCUGCUCCCGCCAGCCACAGUGGAAAGAACUCUGGUUUCUGAUCAUCGAGCGCCAUGUAAAACAGAUGUGUUCCAGUGCAUUAACACCCUCCACAAACUUCCAACUCCUCACAACCAUUAACAAGUAUAAGUUUAAGUGCAGGGAUGUUUGAUACUCCUUCCAAACUUUUAUCGUCAAUCAAGCUUAAUUUUGUAACAGAGAGGAGGUUUUGUAUUUCUCUGAGGUUAUGCGCACCUUUAAUAUAUAGAUCUCUCAAGGCAGUGGCAUGGCAAAGGAGCCUAUCUGGAAGAGACCUCAAACUGGGGCACUCAACAAUCUUCAAUAUCUCAAGAGAAGGUAGCAACAACAUUAUCUGGUUAUCCUCCAACUGCCACCACCAUUCUGCCCAAUUAGGCAUGCCGAUGAAGAAAAGUUUCACUAGCUUGGCGAAGUAGGAGCCUUUCACCAGCACUGCUUCCAGCCACCAAUAAUUCAGAUCCAAUGCUUGUGACUGCAGAAGCACCUGAAAUCUUGAAGUAGUCUAGUUGUGGUAGCAAUCCAAAGGGUGGAAGCUGCUUGCAAUGAAUACAAUCUUCUAGCCCCAAUCUUUGCAAGUUGAGAAGCAACGAUGAGAGUUCCGUCAUCCAGAUGGCCAAAGUACCACGGAUGCUAAGGCUUUCUAGUUAUGGCAGUGGGCAGAGCUCCUUGAAUACCUCCUUAAUCUUCUUGAUCUCUUAUUCACUGCAUGCAUGAGGAUGUACAUCAGAAUUGCUUGGUAGUUUGCAGUGCAGAUGUAGGUAUCGAAAACAGUCGAGGUUUGGUUACAAGUGAAGCAGCUUUUGCUUCAGCUGUGUCUGAUACGCUCUCCAACUUGAAUGCGGUAAGAUAUCUGAGCUGGGAGAGGGAUUUCCAGCUCUUCCAAGGUGCAUAAACCAUGUUUGUGAUGUCCCUUGUGCUUGUGCUCCUGCGAACCAUCCCGCUAUUCACCAUUACUCCAGUAAAUAAAUUUAGAUGCUGCAAUCUCCAUAUUCCCAUCAAGUGGUGUACCUUCAAGAUAAAGAGUUCUUAGAUUCGUUAGCUGUAGGACACUGCAAGGGAGGCUGUGCAAGUAUUUACAUUCUGCGAGGGUCAGGAAUUGCAGGUUUUUGAGAUUACUAUGCUCUCUGGUAUUUCUCUUAUUUGAGUACCAGUGAGAUUAAGAAAUCUCAAAUGUAUAAGAGCUGUUAAGGAAGUUGGUAGAUUGCUAAUGGCUGUAUCUUUGAAGUUUAGGAUCCUCAAACACCUGAGUUUUUCGAAAAUAUCUUUGGGAAGAUUGCAAACAAGUGGUCUGUGAAAGGAGCCUAAGGUCCUCAAGGAUGUCUGCUUCAUGAUCAUGUCAGGAAUGGCCACUAAUUCCCCAUCUACAAUGGAUUAAUAGCGUAGUUUUAUUGAUGAUGCGGUGGAGAUGAUAUUGUCUGUAAAUCCUUGUUCGUCCCCGGUGGAGCCACUCAUGCAUCCUACAACCUGUUUUGCCAUAGAAGCUAAGAUCUGGUUGCAGAAGGCUUCUCUGCAAACUCUUUCUAAAACCCUUUCACCAAAUCCUCCGAGAACAAAUUCUCUUCAGCUUUUAUAAAACCAUGUGCGAUGCAAUAAAUCACAAAUGUGCACUCACAAAUAAUGAAAUCCUCGAGAAAUAGCCACAGUGAUGCAGUAGAGGAUGGGUGAUUGCUGAAGAUUGGGGAUGGCAGCUGAUUGCUUUCUUCCUUCUUUUUUUCUUUUUUUGUUAGUGGUGGUUAGGGUUUUUUGUGGAUGGAGAAAAGAGGAAGAAAAUGAUGAGGGUGCCUAAUUAGUUUAAUUGGGUUCAAUGGUUGGCGACUGAAAUUGGGAAUUAUGUUUGAUUGGGUUAGAGGCGGAUGGAGUUGGUUUGGGAUCCUAACUUGAUUGGGUUUGGCGUGAGGGGUUUGUUGGCGUGAUGGGAAUGAGGAGUCCUAAAGGGUUUAGGACUCUUGGUUAGGCUUGGGGAAUGGGUUGUGUUGGCAUGAAAUAUGGCUUUCGCGUGAGAAUGGCUAUGGCGUGAGGGAAGAAAAGAGAUUGCUAUGAUGGCGUGAGAUAUGGAUAAGGGGAGACAACUAGGAUUAUGAUGAGAGAAUCUCACUCUCAAACCAAUCCAUGGACCUUCAACCUUCCACCAACUUGGCAUCACACCAAGAGAAAGGAAUCUCUCCUCUCAUGUGAAAGGUCACAAAAUUUCUUCAAACUCCGAAUUUUAUUCUUCAACGUUCUUUAUAUAGAGUAAGAGGUUGGAACAAGUUGGACUCUUACAAUCUGAAAUUUAGGACUUCUUCUUUAAAUAGGACUCCUACUAAACUUAGACUCUUUUAAAUUAAAUCAAACUAUGGGCUAAGUCAACCAUAAUUUAAAUAAGACUCCUACUUGACUUGGACUUUUCAUGACACUCAUCUUUGAAGGAGUCAACAACAAAUAAAAGAAGAAAAACGUGGUGACUUUUUUUGAGGAGGCUUUGCGCACGCCAUGAAGGGCUUCAUGCACGCCUUGGUUUCGUUCCUAAAUUCAGACCCUUUUUGGACCAAGUCAACAAGCCAACUAACACUCAAAGGCUCUUUCUAAUUUUGGACUAAAAAUUCUGGACUCAAUGUAACAUUAGACACGCAUAAUGUUGGACCCAAACUCCUAAACUCAAGACUCACAUAUAAAUUAGGACUCUUCAAUGCCUCAAGGACUCAAUGUAAUUAGGCAUUAGAACAUUAGAACCUAAUGUAACUAGGUGUUGGAAAUCUUGGACCUAAUAUGAUUCGGUGCACACCUAAGGAGGGGGCUCAAUCUCCACGCAUGCCUCAGGCUUGGGCUCAUACUCCUGCAUCAGUACAUCUUGCUAUCUUGGAGCAUCCACCUCUCCUACCUGAAUUCUCCCCUCAUAUGAUCUUAUUGCCUCUAGCCAUAUUUCCUGAAAAGUAUAUUUUUGUUAAAAACACUAGAUAGAAUUAAAAGGUAAGAACUUUGGUUGGAAAUAUCAAGAUUAAAUAAGCACAGGAAUAGUUAUUAGCAAAACAAUCUACAACAUAUUUCAAUAAAACACAAAAAUUGUAACUUACCAAAUUAUCAAUUAACAUAGACAUCAUGAAUGACAAAUAUGCUUCAGCUAGUCAUAGACAUCAAUAUUACCAUCCCCAUCAUCAACCACUUUAUCAUUAUCUACAAGGUUUGGAUCAACAUAUAUAGGUUCAAUAUCACCUCUUCAAUAUAAUUUCAUUAUCACCAUCAUCAUCUAUUGCCACUAUAGGAUGUACCUAACUAAUUGUCUCAUUCUCUUAGAUUGCUUCCUGACAACUAGUUUGACCAGCUUCAUGAAUAGCCUUUUCAAAUAGUUUGGGCAUAUUGUACAAAUUAUGAGGCCCUUUUUUUUACCACAACAAGCCAAUUAGGAUCCUUAUGAUCUCUUGCAUAGUAUACUUGUUCUGCUUGGUAUGUAAGUACAUAGGGCUCAUUUGUAUUUAAGAAACAUUUGAUAUUCGCGGUAAUACACUUAUAUUUAUCCUCCUUGUAUCCUCUAUCAUGAUACAUAUCCCACCAAUGAUAUUUGAAUAAAACAACUUUGUUGCCUCCAUUAUUGCGCAAUUCAAUAAUGUCAUUUAAAAUGCCAUAAAAUUCUUUGGAGCCUAUAGAUUCAUCUCCCUUAACUAAUACUCCACUGUUUUGAGUUUUCAGAUGAUCUUCAUAACUUUUUGUGUGAAACUUAAAACCAUCACUAACACGUAUAGUGAUUAUACAACCUUGAGCCUAUAGAUUUAACAUAACCUGUAUAUGAAUUGACUCAUUUUUGAGGACCUUGAGCCAAGUAUAGAAGUCCAUCACUAACACCUUCCAACCCUUCUAAAAUCUAAAAGCUUCUCAACGACCAUCUCAUUACUUCAUAACUCCAAGAUAAGCUAUUCAAGAAAACCCACGUUCGAUUGCUUCAUAAAAAUCGUUAGGGCAAGCAAUUCAAGAAUCAAGUACUAACUCGAAUAUCGAUUGCUGCAAUCUACUCGACUCUUCAAGUAAAAAAUCAUACUUCAGAAUCAAAACAAGAUCAACAAUAUAGAUCAAGAUUAAAGAGAAUACAAAUAGAUCAAGAUUAAAAUCUUUGAACAAAACAAUAAUAUGGCUGAUUAAGCUACAAGAAAAUAUGAAAAAAAAGGUAAAUUAAUCAGUGAGCUGCUUAUGUUUUGAUUUGAUGAAUACCUAAACAAAGAAAGAAGCAAGGGCUGAUUUGAGGAUGAAAUCUAUACUAGAGUUGCUCGGCGGCUUUUGCUUCUUAGAGAAAGGAGAAGAAGGGCUGGACUAUGGAGAAAAAGGGCAGACAUGUGCUUUAGAGGAAGAAGAGAUCGUGUAGGACUAGAGCACGGUAUCUGGUGGCAAGUUAGUUACGCUAGCCUAUUAAAAUAAUAAGUCCUACACCGUGCCCUAGUUUAGCUAGCGGAACUAGCAAAAAAAGAUCCAGCGCUAUUUAAAAUAAAUAUUAUCUCUCUAGACUUAGGUUCUACAGAACAUUAAUUGGUUGGAUUGGGUUCUACAGAACAUUAAUUGGUCGGAUUUGGACUUAAUGGUCCAAAAUAGUUUCUCUAUCACCAUAGGGAAAUAUAAAAUUAUAGUCUUAUUAUAAUCAAUGAUUUACAAAGAUAAUUCCAAUCAAUAUUAUAAUCUUAUUAUAUACUUGUAUAAUAAGAUUAUAGUCUUAUUAUAAUUAUAAUCUAAUAAUUAUAAUCAACGAUCUUCAGACGAAUCAUUGGACUCAAUGUGGACAACUUUGGCCAAUUAAGUAGGGCUAGAUAGAGUCCAAUGUCUAAUUAAGAUUAUAUAUAUAUAUAUAUAUAUAAAUCGAGCAAAUUUAAGUCGGGUUGUGCCCUUAGCGAUGCAGCACAAAUUCUAUCGUUUGGGACCUAAAAUGGCUGGUCAAACCGAAGAUUUUUCUUUUUGGAAAAAAUUUUGACCGAAUGUAUCUUUCAAUCCGAGAAGAAUCAGGUGGAGCUACAGAAGGUGAAGUUGAUGUAGAAUGCGAGAUCUACCUUAUAUAGGGAUUUAGAUUUUUUGAGCUUAUUUUUAUUAGUCAUAUCUAUUUUAGGAAAGUGAAUCCUAUUAAAACUAAGAUAGGAAUCCGGCUUGAAUUGUCCAAGGGUAGACCUAUCAUUUUUAUAGACACAGCUAUGUUGAUGACUAAUGAAGGAAAAUGAGACUUAAAACCCUACUUUCUUAGCUAUAUACUAUUUCUCUACUUGAUGGUUAGCUUGAUUUUAACAACACACCAACAUAAAAUCAACUUUUAUAAUUUUAUUUAUACUUUGAUAAUUUUACCGAUGACAUUAUCAAUUCAUCAUUAAUAUAUAAUAUUUUAGUGAUGAUAUAAUAUAUGAUCACUGUAGACAUAAAUUUUCAAUGAUCACUCUAUAGGCUCGUCAUUAACGAUAUAUACCUAUCAUGACUAUUUUAAUAUAUGGUCACUAAAGAUAUAUAUAUUUUAGUGAUGAAUCAUAUAUAUGUUUUAAUGAUGAAUCAUAAAAUCAUCAUUAGUGUAUUGACCAAUACUAGUUUUGGUGUCAAAAAUUAUGACUACAUACUUUAUUGUCAUUAAAAAUAUAGACUUUUGAUGACCACUCUAUUAGCACGUCAUUAAAGGCAUAUACCUAUAGUGACUAUUUUGAAAUAGCAUCACUAAAGAUAUACGAUUUAUUGGUGAAUCAUGAAAUUGUCAUUAAUGAACGACAACGUACAUAUCGUCAUUAACGUUAGAGACUUUUAAGGACCACUCUAUAAGCUUAUCAUUAAAGGUAUCUAUAGUGACCGUUUUAAAAUAUCAUCACUAAAGUCAUAAGUUUUAGUGACGAAUCAUAUUAUCGCCAUUAGUGAGUUGACCAAAAUCAAUUUUGGUUCCACAAUUAUUAUUCUGCCUAAUUGCAUGACAAAAUGAAUAAUAAUCGCAAAAAAGCUAUCUUUUAUGAUGAUAUCGUGUUUUGUCGUUAAAAUGUUUGACCAAAAUUGUUUGUUGUGAUCUCUUAGCUCGGAGAGGAAGGAGUGGGACAUCAGCAGGAUUGAUCAGCUAUUUAAAGAGUACCUUGUUGAACAUAUUCAAUCGCUCUCAGUUCUAAGGUGUGUUGGCCUGAAUGUGAGGCUUUGGAGUACGUCAUGCAGAGCCACUGUCAGGGUGGGAGAUGUCUUCCGGACCCUCCAGUAGGAGCACAAGCUAGAGAUGGAUUGUGCUUGGAUCUGGAGCUUCGGACUCUACCUAAGAGUAGCAUUAUUUCUGUGGAAGGUGGCAUGGGAGUGUCUGCCGAUGAGAUGGGUGCUAAGAAGAAGAGGAUUGGGCAUUUAACUCCAGUGUUCGGACUGCUGAGUGGACGAGAUGGUGGAUCAUGUGCUGUUCCAGUGUGCAUGAUCUAGAGGGGUCUGGAGGCUCGUCGAGGUCAUAUAGGAUACCUGAAGCUGGAUGGGGCCUUUUCUACAAGCGAUUCACCGAUGGUCCGACGCCCCCCAAAUGCAUCGGGUGGCAAUUUGAGCGACUUACGCAGCUUACCAGCUAUGGUUGGCGAGGAACGCUUGGACUUUUGGCGAGAGUAGUCCUUUUCUGAGGUUCAUCGUGGAGCACGCCCGAGUACAGGCAGUAGAGAUCAUUCAUAUAGGCUUAGUACAUGGGCCUUUGAUAGCUCGGGAUACUUGGAGCCUCUACUCUGCUCAGGCAGCGCCUCGUAUGGUAUUUUUCACCUGGGAGCCCCAACCUCCGAGCUUUCUCAAGGUCAACUUUGAUGGUUCUGUGCUGUACGGUGGCAGGAGAGGAGGUGUUGGGUUUGUCAUUAGGGGUCCGAACUCUAAGAUAGUGGCUGCUAGAUCUUCAAUACCUCAAUUUCUGGAGCAGAGCUGCGGAUAGCUUGGGCUAGCCUGCGUGGCGGGUGCUACAGCCCAACUCGAUUAUAUUGGAGGGCGACUCGGCCACUGUGAUCAGCUAGAUUCAGAGUGGCCCGAGUGGCAGUGGAGGGGGACACCAUCUAUUUCGGAAUAUUUCGGCGAUGGUAAGUGAUGGGGUGGCCUUUCAGGCUAUACAUGUGUUUAGAGAGGCCAACGGGGCUUCGGACUGGGUGGCUUCUUAUGUGGCCUACCACUUUGGGGGUACCCUAUGGCUGGAAAGACGAAGUUGUCGAGAGCACUUCGAAACUUGUUGUUUUCUGAUUUUAUUAAGUGUAUCUGUUCUCGUAAUGUAUGAAAUGCCCAUUUUAGCAAAAAAAAAAGUUUCUUUGCUAAAUAUAGGAAUUUUAGUGACUAGACUUGUAUUCAUAACUAAAUGUUCGUCAAUAAAAACCUAAAUUCUUGUAGUGAUCCUUCUUCUCUUCUUCUUGAUUUCUCUUUUUAAACCUUAAAAAGAGAAAAUAAGUUAGAAAAGUAAAAAAAUUAUUGUUACUAGCCAUUAUUAAAGAAGCAAAAACCUUAAUCUAUAAAUAAGAAAUACUAUAAGAAUUUAGAAUUUCAGUGACGAACUUUUUGUGAUGAAAUACAAGUCUAAUCAUAGAAAACCCCAUAUUUAGUGAUGAAAAUAAGAAAUGGUCAAAACAAAUCAUUUUCGUUUAUAUCUUUAAUGAGGAAAUGAAAUGCCAUCACAAUAUAUGUAUCUUUUGUGACUAUUUUUCAUUUUAUCACAAAAAAUUGCCAUCAAAUAAAGCCUUUUUAAGGUGGGAAAAUAAUUUUGGCACCAAAAUCAAUUUUGGUUAACUCACUAAUGAUGAUUUUAUGAUUCAUCACUAAAACUUAUGUCAUUAGUAAUGACAUUUUAACAUAUUUACUAUACAUAUAUAUCCUUAAUGAUAAAUUUAUAGAGUGGUUAAUAAAAGUCUAUAUUUUUAGUGAUGAUAUAUUAUGUUGUCAUAAUUUUGGUGUCAAAAACAAUAUGGAUCAAAUCAUUAAUGAAAAAUUUAAAAUUCAUCACUAAAACUUAUGUCUUUAGUGAUGAUUUUUCAAAAUAGUCACUAUAGAUAUAUAUCUUUUAGCGACGAGAUAAUAAAGUGGUCAUUAAAACUCUAUGUCUUUAGUGACUAUACAAUAUGAUGUCAUAAUUUUUGGUACUAAAAUCAAUAUUGGUCAAUGUACUAAUAACGAUCUUAUGAUUCAUCACUAAAUUAUAUAUCUUUAGUGAAGAUAUUUUAAAAUAGUCACUAUAAGUAUAUACUGUUAAUGAUUCGGUGGUCAUUAAAAAUCCGUCUUUAGUGCUGAUACAUUAUGUUCACUAAAAAUCUUAUACAUUAAUGAUGAAAUGACGAUAUCAUCAACCAAAGGAUCAAAUUGUAAUAAUAUUUUAAUAGUGCAUAUGUCAAUCAUUAAAAUAAAAUAUGUAUCAAUAUUUUCUGUUAGCAUGUUGUUAAAACAAAGCCAACCAUUAUGAGAAUUCAAGUAAAGAUUUGAAGGAUCAUGAGAUAUACCUAAUAUCACAUGAUUUUGAUUGGAUACUUGAUUGAUUUUGACAACAUAGAACUAUUGAAAUUCAUAUGCCCAUCAGAAUUCAAUUUAAUAAAAUUGAUUAUAUAUUAAACUUUUACCUAAAUUUUUUGAUAAGUUAAAUAUUUAUUUUUAACUUGAUUUGGCCCAAUUUAUUUAUUGAACAACAUACAUGAGUCAAGAUAAUUUAACAAUUAGAGAAAAAAAAAGAUAUAAAAUCUACUAUCAAUAUGGCAAGCGACACACUAUAAUUAGGUAAUAGUUUAAGAUGUAAUUAUUAAAAACUUGUAUGAAGACCAAUUUAGCUAAGGAUUCAGAUUAUUGAUCCAACUUGAUUUGUAUUAAAAAUAAUAAAAAUUUAAAAUUACUUAAAUUAAAUAUAUCAUAAAAGUAUUAAAAAGUAUUCUAUAUUAAAUACCAUUACUUAUUAAUUAUAAUAUGAAUCAAAAGAAUCAUGAAUUAUCUACUUUAAAAGAACUUUAGAAAAAAAAUAUAUACAAUUAUAUACCAUUAUAGAAAUAUAUUGAAAUUAUGCAUAUUUAAAAAAAUUUAAGUGAAAGGGUUUCAUAAUAUUAUAAAUAAUAAAUAAAUUUAUUUAUCUUUUAUUUUUGUCAAAAAGAAGAUGAUUAUUUUUUUAUAAAAUAAUUACUUAAAUAUCACAAAAUAUAUUAAAUGAGUAUAUUAUAAUGCGAAAGUUUUAAAUAAGUAUAAUAAAGCCUAACUUUAUACAAGAUGUUAAGGUUGUCAUGGUGGCUACCUAGUAAGCAAAUAUCCAAGAUAUCUUAGGUUCGUAAGAUUUUCAUCCGAAUUCGAUCGGACAAUAGAUAUAGAUAGGGAUUCCGUUGGAUAAUUUUUGGGUUAUUUACCGAUACUUUUUCAAUCUUUUAUCAUCAAAAAAAAAUUACCAAUGUUUGUCUUUAAUGACUAUUUCCAUUACAUCACUAAUUGUAUUAGCUUUUUAUGACCAAGAAUCACAAAAGAAAAUUGUUAGCGACGACAUUAAAUCCUCAUUAAAGCUUAUUUUUGGUCAUUAAUUUCUUAUCAACUCAUCAUUUUCAGGCUCUUUAACAAUUAUUUUUUUAAUCUUUUGCCAUAAAUAAUAUCAUCACUAAUAUUUGCUUUUAACAACUAUUUGUGUUUCGUCACUCAAUAUAAUAUUUUUUUGAUAAUUUUACAUGUUCGUCACUAAAACUUUUAGGCAUAGGGCCUUUAUAAUAGUCCCUUCCUCUUUUCUUAUCAUAUGUUCAACCUCACAAAAAUCUUAUAUACUCCCUUCCUCACACCUAAUCUUGGCUUGAUAACAAACUUAAUUUUUUCCUUAUAACCAAUAUUAUCCAUUUGGAUGCCAAAUCCUUGGCAUGCAUUCGCUAUUGUGGUACCGUAUAUUUGGUCCUCAUACCUUCCUUGAAAGCCUAAACAGCCAUAAAACUUCCUCCUAAAUCCAAUGAUAUUUACAUCAAUGAUAUCAUUAAUCAAUACCAUGGAUUCUUUUCUCUUUAUUGUACAAUAUCCCAACUAUUUAUUCACCCUCCAUAUCACCUAUCCUCUUGAGGAGGAAAUGAUCCAAUUAAAUUGCUAUAUCUAGCUCUUCUUCUCUCCUUUAUAUCCAAAUCUUUCCCCUAGUUGUAACCCCUUUUCUCUCUCAUUUCUAAUCCCAGCCUUCUAAAGAAAUACCACCAAAAAAACAUAAACCUUCAUUAGAUUUUUACCAUCCACCUUCCAAAUCCUCUCCUCUUCCUCUCCAACCAAUAGGACCUUGCCACCUAUAAAUCCAUCAUAAUUUUUAGAUCCUCUAAGAUUCAAUCAUGACCUUGCCAAACUUCCUCCCUCUAAAAUAACAUACCCCAAAUAAAAAUACCCUCCUUAAAUCUUUUCCAUCCAUCUAAAUAUUCUUUUCAUACUCCUUGGCUUAUAAAAUAUUGUCACCUCAAAUCCAUCAUAACUCUUAGGUCUAUUUAAAUUAAAUUAUAUCUCUCAAAUCAAUUUUUUCUCUCUCUACACAUCCUAUCCCUAUGAAGAAAUAUAUCCUAAGAUAGCACACUAUCCUAUCAUCUCAACCCUCCAAUCUCCCUUUCAACCUAAGAGCCAAUAAGAAGCUAAUUUAUUUCUUCUAUAAAUUGGAUUUAUGAAAAUCUCACCUCUCAUUAAAUUCUAAUCCUAGGAUAUCACAUGUUUUCCUUUAAAUAUAUCCUCCCUAUUAUAAAAUUAAUAGAAGAAAUGUUGCCCAAGGUGNNNNNNNNNNNNNNNNNNNNUCAAAAAAUUCCUAAGAAUUAGGCUCCAAACCCUAUCCAUCUCUCUCACUACACUCUUUCUCCUC